CCAAAGGAAGAACAAAGGAAGAAAAGAAAGAAUAAGAACCCUAGGGUGAAAAUUCAAGAGAAAAAUUGGUGGAUUUCAAGUAAUCAAGCAAUCAAAGGUACAAUUUCUUUGAUUUUGACUUGUGAUCUACCUUUCCCAUGCAUUAUUUUGCAUUUUCCAUGGUUGAAUCACAAAAUAUCAUGAAGGAUUCAUGGCUGGCCGAACACUUAGAGAGAGAUUUUGAUGGUUGUUUUGGUUAUAUUUUAAGGUAUUUUAGUGUUUUUAGAUAGUGAUGUGUAGCAUGAAAAACCAACAAGAAAAAUUUAUUUUCUCCCAUUACCCAUCAUUAGCCGAAUUCUCCAUGUAGAGUGUGGAUGAUGAUUUUGAUUUUAUUUCAAGUGAAUUGGUUAGGAAAUGAUGAAUUAUGGUGAGAAAAUCAAGUAGGAAAAAUUAUAGUAUUGAUGCACUCACCAUGGCCGAAAUUCCCAAGAGAAAAUGUGAAGAUGAUUUUGCUAAAUUUUAUGCUAUUUGACCUAUGUUUGAUGGAUUGGAGAAUUGGAAGAAAAAUGGAGUUAAAUUGGACAUAUUGGCCAAUUAAUCGAGUGAUAGAUCGAAUUAGGCCAAUACCGUUUUAUUUAGGUACUCAAUUGAAUUUGUGUAGAACACCGUAUUUAGAUAGUUACUCGAGUAUUUCACAUUCCAUUUCAUGCAUUGGUAUAAAGCCUAAAUUGGAUUUACAAUGGUUUAGCACAAAUGUAGUAAAUGACUUAUUGUAUAUUAUGUCGAGGUGGUGAGCAUUCUGGCAAAAGUAAAGAGAUAGUACCCGAGGAUCAAGAAUCAGAGUACUUGAAAUUCGAUUCCCAUUACAGUGAGUAACCUUACUAUCGUCUUCAUUAUCUAAAGUAUGUUUUAUUUGAUUUUGUGAAUUUUAUGGAAAAUGAAUUAAAUGAUUAAUUUUUUAGUUUUAUAAACAAAAUGUGAUUUAAUGAAAUGAUUUCAUAAAAUUGUUUUAAAAUUGAAUGAUGGUUUGAAAAUAGAGUAAUUGGAGACUGUUUUUGUGUGUUGUAAAUUCAUGAUUCCAAUUGUUUGGCUUAUGGCAAUAUUGGCAUCAAUGGUUGAUUUGAUAAAUGUGUUGGAAAUGUAUAACUUGUUGAUUUGCCUUGAAAGACUGUAAAAUAAAAUAAAAUAAUUGCCAUGUCAUGCUAUUGUAAAGUUUAUUGUAUGGUGGGUUUAGCUUGCUACAGUGGGCGGGUUUUCUGUAGACCAGCUUAUUAGAGGGGCAUGGAAUCCUUUUAUAUUUUACCUCGAUUGGAGAGGCGAGUAGGGUAGCUCUCGAGGUAUAACUUUUAGAGUUCACUUCAUGCCAAACCACCAAGUGAGGAUGAACUCGGCCAACGCCAAGGAACUGCUGUGUUUUUCAAACUAUAAAUAUGUUUAUGUGCAUACGAAACUUUUUAAUAGCCUUGGCGGACUCGGUUUGGGAUAGCCCUCGGCCAAGGUAUCCCUGAUAACUGAGUAUGAGAAUGAUUUGGGCAUAAGCCAAAGCUUUGAAGAAAUUAAUAGGCCAUGUUGAUUACUUGAUUUAUAUGAAUCAAUUUUAUUUUAUUGAAAUGAUGAAUUAUGGUAUGAUGAUCUAUUUUAAUCUAUCUCCAUUUACUCAGCUUUAGAUAUUUUAGAUGGUAUUUGUUUACUCACUGGGAUUAUAUAAUCUCACCACCCUCCUUUUCACCCAUUUCAAGCUCAGAAUAGAUUGUAGAUAACUGAUAUCGUCAAGGACUACAAUUGGAAUUGCCUCAUCCAAAAACUGUAGGUUCAUUUCUUUUGAUACUUUUAGUCAUUCGUGGGCCCAUGUGUCACUGUAAAUUAAAUUUUAUACUUUGUUUAUCUGCAUUACAGUAUAUAUGAAUUUAUUUAGCUUUUAUGCUACAUAAAUUAUUUACCGGUAACUCUAUAAAUAUUGUUUUAUAGGAAAAUAGAAUAUUUUAUUGAAUAUUUUUAUUAUAUUCAAAUAGAUAUAGUUUCGUUUUAAAUGAAUGUUUUAGACAUCUAAAUUUAUUCUUGAUUAUGAAAUAUGUGUUUUCUACUCGUAUACUACAUUUUAAACUGAUUUCGAGAUUUGUGAGGAAAAAUGACCAACAUGCCCUUAUGAGAUAAAAAUUAUUUUUCUAUUGUUUUGAUUUUAAAAUAGUUUAUAACCUCUUAAAACAUGUUAUAUUACAAUUGUUGAUCACAGGGAAGGUGAGAAAACUGAUAUUAAAGCCUUGCGAGGUUCCGAUUGGUAUUCCGUUAGAUGAAUGUCCAUCGAGACAUCGCGAUGGUUGUCACUGGCUCGAGGAGAGUUCCGAGUCGUGACAUUUUUCUUGCCAAACCUCAUAAUACCUUUGGUUGGAAAAACCUUAAGAACACAUAGUCGCCAACUUCAAACUCUAACUCUCGAAAUCUAUGGUUAGCAUAUGACUUUUGAUGACUUUGUGCCAUUAAUAUCCUCUCUCUAAUCAAUUGGAUCUUGUUGGUUAUUUCUUGAGCUAUUUUCGAUCCAAGUAACUUUCUUUCACUAACUUUAAACCAACAUAUGGGUGAUCUACAUCUCUGCCCAUAUAAAGCCUCAACAAGAGCCAUCUGAAUAUUGGCUUGAAAGUUGUUAUUGUAGCGAAACUCAAUCAAUGGCAAGUGUCGAUCCUAAGAAACUCUGAAGUGUAUGACACAAGCCCUCAACAUUUUAUUUAGUGUCUGAAUUGUCCUCUUAGAAAGCCUAUUUGUCUAUUGUUGGAAUGUAGUUCUAAAAUUCAACUUGGUUCCCAAAGCCUCUUGCCCUUCCCCCAAAAUCGACUAGUAAACUAUGUGCCUCUAUCUGACACUAUAGUGACUGAAACUCCAUGCAAUCACACUAUCUCAUCAAUGAAUAGUCUAGCAUAUUGUGCCGCUCCAUAUGUAGUCUUCACUGGAAAAAAUGAGCGCACUUAGUUAGCUUAUCAACAAUCACCCAUAUGGAAUCAUACCUCUCACUUGUACGAGGUAGUCUAGUCACAAAGUCCAUAAAAACAUGCUCUCACUUCCACUUGGGAAUAGGUAAAGGCUGUAACAGUCCAACUAGUCUUUGAUGCUCUACCUUAACCUAUUGCUACACUAGGCACUUGGCCACACACUUAACCACAUCUCUCUCAAGGCCUCCUUACCAAUACAUUUCCCUCAAGUCAUGCUACAUCUUGGUGGUGCUUAGAUGAACCAUGUGGGCCUUCUCCAAGACCUCUCAUCUCAAAUCAUCUACAUUAGGCACAUAUUUUCUAGAUCCAUAUGUGAGACCUUGACCCUUGUAGGCUUGUAACUAGAAGUAGAUGGGAUAUCACUAACCAGGGGUAAUUUUGUCAUUUCCUUAGUGAGCCCCUAAAAGUAAGCUUUCAAACAAUAUUAAGGCUUAAGUAGGCAAAGGCAUAAAUGAAUGAUGAAAAUAAGGGUAAAAUAUUGAAGGAAAUAAAAAAAUAAUGAUGAUUUCCAAGGUAGGGGUAAAAUGGUUAUUUUUCAUCUCGGGUCAAAAUUUUUAAGUUUUCAUGAACCCAAGUAUUUCUAGACUAUUAUGGACCUUGUUCUAGUGUUAAAAGAGUAAAAAGACUGCACAAAGGAUUGGAGGAUAACAAGCCAACUAGUUAAGGGCAUUUUUGUAAUUUAAGUGGAGUUGGAUAAGCUUGAGCUAUAAAUGUUGUCAUGACCCGGUACUCCCCUCGAGCCUGUGACAACCGUCGUGGUGUCCCGAUCGACACUCAUUACUCGAAAUGUCAACCGGAACCCCGCAAGGCUUUAAUAUCAGUUUCUCAUUUCCCAUGUGAGUAACCGUUGCCAAAUAUCAUGUUCUAAAAGAUUUUAAGCUAUUUCCAACUUAAAUCAAUAAAAAAUAAUUUAUGUCUCACAGGGGCAUUUUGGUAAUUUUUUCUCAAAAAUUUCAAAACCAGCUAAAAAUGUAGUAUGCGAGUAUAAAACACAUAAUUCAUAAUCAAAAAUAUGUUUAAACGUCCAAAACCUUCAUUUAAAAUGAAAUUAUGACUAUUUGAAUAUAAUAAAAAUAUUCAAUAAAAUAUUCUAUUUUUUUAUAAAACAAUAUUUAUAAAGUUAUCGGUAAAUAAUUUUUGUAGCGUAAAAGCUAAAUAAAUUCAUACAUAUUGUAAUACAGAUAACCAAAGUAUAAAAUUUAAUUUACAGUGACACGUAGGCCCACGAACGACCAGAAGUAUUAAAAGCGGUAAACCUACAAUUUUUGAGGAUGCAAGUCCAACUGUAGCCCUCAACAAAGUGAGCUAUCUAUCGACUAUCCUGAGCCUGAAAUGGGUGGAAUGGAGGGUGGUGAGAUUAUGUAAUCCUAGUGAGUAAACAAAUAUCAUCUAAAAUAUCUAAAGCCGAGUAAAUGGAGACAGAUAAAAUAGUUUAACAUAAAAAUGAUUUACUGCAUUUCGAACUCAUUUUAAUAAGAUAAAAUAGAUUCAUUUCACCCAAAUAAACAACGAGGCUUAUGAUUUCUUGAAAAGUUUGGCUCGUGCCAAAAUCAUUCUCAUACUCAGUUAUCAAGGAUACCUUGGCCUGGGCCUAUCCCAACCGAGUCCGCCAAGGUUGUUAAAAGUCAUGUACGCAUAAAUCAUGUUUUAUUUUGAAAACAUAGUCGUUCUUUGGCGUUGGCUGAGUUCACCCUCACAAGGUGGUUUGGCGUGAAGUGAACUCUAAAGUUUUAACCUCAAGAGUUAUCCAACCGCGCCUCUCAUACUGAGGUAUGAAUAUAAUAGGGUUACCGUGCCCCUCUAAUAGGCUGGUCCACGGAACCCAUCCUUUGCAUCGACCAAUUUAUAACCCACCAAUUCAAUAAAAUUCAACAGCAUGACAUGGCAAUUAUUUUAUUUUACAGCCUCUCAACGCAAAUCAAUAGUUCAUACUUUUUCAGCACAUUUACCAAAUCCUGCCACUAAUGCCCGCAUUAUCAUAAGCCAUUCAAUUGAAACCGUAAUUUACAACACAACAAUUAGUCUCCAAUUACUCCAUUUUCAAAACCAUCAUUAAAUUUCAAGACAAUUUUAUAAAAUCAAUUCAUUAAAUCAGAUUUUAAUUACAAAACACAAAGAUUUACCAUUUAACUCAUUUUUCAUAAAAUCACAAAAUCGGAUAAAAACCACUUUAGAUAAUUAAGAUGAUAGUAAAGUUACUCACUGUAUUAGGAGUUUGAAUUUUGGAGUACUCUGACUAUUGAUCCUCAGGUGCAAUUUUUUUGCCCUUUUUCAGAGGAUUCACCAGCUAGACAUAAUGCAAAAUCAAGCAAUUUACCACAUUGGUGCUAAACCGUUAUAAAACUAAUCUAAACUCUAUAUGAAUGCAUGAUAUGGAACGUGAAUUGUUCGGAUUAUCGUUUACAUGCGGUGUUGGCCUAACUCGAUCUAUCACCCGAUUAAUUGGCCAAUACGUCCAAUUCAACUCCAAAUAAUUCCAUUUCUCUCCCAAUACUUCAAAUCACCAAACACAAGUCAAAUAACAUAAAAUUUAGCAAAACCAUCUUCACAUUUCUUCUUGAGAAUUUCGGCCAUGGUGAGUGCAUCAACACUAUGAUUUUUCCUACUUGAUUUUCUCACCAUAAUUCAUCAUUUCCUAACCAAUUCACCUGAAAUAAAAUCAAAUCCACCAUCAACACUCUGCAAGGAAGAUUNNNNNNNNNNNNNNNNNNNNNNNNNNNNNNNNNNNNNNNNNNNNNNNNNNNNNNNNNNNNNNNNNNNNNNNNNNNNNNNNNNNNNNNNNNNNNNNNNNNNNNNNNNNNNNNNNNNNNNNNNNNNNNNNNNNNNNNNNNNNNNNNNNNNNNNNNNNNNNNNNNNNNNNNNNNNNNNNNNNNNNNNNNNNNNNNNNNNNNNNNNNNNNNNNNNNNUCUAGGGUUUUUGUUCUUCUUUUCUUCCUUUGUUCUUGCUAUGGCCCGCCAUAAGAAUGAAUGUGGAAGAGUUCAAAUUGGCUUUAUAAAGGAAAAUAUUAAAUGGACAAAAAUUUACCAUGUGUCACCAUUCCAUUGGUCCAUAUGUCAUACUUACCCAUUAAGCAAUCUCUCUCCACCAUAUAAAUUUCCUCAAUUAUCCAUGAUAAUAUUGGGUAAAAUCCAUGUGCUGGACAAGUGUUGGGUGAUGUAAAAUUAUAAUUUUGCCCCUGAGGUGGCAAAAUGACUAUUUUACCCCUAUGUUUGAAAAAAUGUUAGAAUUAAAACUUUUCACUUCUCAAACUCAAAUUAUGUUCUAAAUAGUCAAUCUUGAUCAAAAACUUCUUCCAACAUUCCAAUUUUAACCUCGGGCGGCAAAAUGACUAUUUCCCCUACGUUAUGAAAAUUUCAAUUUAACUCUAAAUCGGUCCUCGAACUCCGAAUCACUAUUUUAAGUCAAUUUGAGGUUUUAAAAUUCUCAAUUUCAUCUUAAAAUCUCUAUUUGGACUAGGUCGAGGCUUAAAUCAACUUAGAUGUACCAUUUGGUACAUUACCGUUCUUUAUUGAUUUUCGAGGUACCAAAGUAAGCAAACAUGCAUUCUUAUGUAAAAAUGGCAUAAUAAACAUAUUGUAGAGCUGGACUUGACAAAUGUCAUCUUCUAGCAGCUUCUUCUUCUUUUUCCCCUCUUAUGUUUCUCCAUCCUCCAUGGGAGUUCUCUUCAAACUUCCAUAACUUUCUCAAGUUAGUCUCAAAUUUCACACUUUUGUGCACCUUUUCACAAGCCCUUUGUGCUCUUUUACUCUUUCACCUUUAAAAAAAAACCCUCUAAAGUCUUAAACUAAUACUUUCUUUCACUAGCUAGGCUUUUUAGAGAGAGAAAGAAAGACUCUCUAUAAUAGUUUGGGAAUUCUUGAUGAGGAAUCCAAUUACAAAUCUAGCAAGUUGAGUGUUGAAAUUGAGUUGAUAUUUUUAGUUGUUGAUAAUGUCUAGUAAAUUGAUUUCUAAGUGUUUUAUUGUUGAGAUUGUUUAAUCAUUUUUAGUGUGACUAGAGUAGUACAAAUAAUAGCCACUUAAUGGUAGUUAGAAACUAGUUAGGAAUAACUAAUAGAAUAUGGUUUAGGAGAUAGCUUCUAGAACUAUAGUUAUGUGAAUUGAGUUAAUUGUGAUGCCAAUGUGAUGAUAGGCUCCAAUGAAGCCCCACCGCCCCAUUUGGACCAUUAGAGGAAGUUAGAGUUGAGUAAAGAUUUAACGAAUAUCGGUGAGUGAACUUGUAUUUCAAAAUUUCUUUGGGAAAUGUAGAGGUAUUUAGGUGAAACAUUUGAAUGACUUUAUCUAACCUUUCUUUAAAAAUGUGUGCUAGGAACAAGCCCUUGAUAAAAUGUUUUUGAUGUUGUUAAAUGUGAAAUGUUUAUAAGGAUGAAUCUAUGUGCUCUUAUAUUACGUUGGUAUGUAUAUGUAUAUAUAUAUAUAUGAAUAUGUGUUGUGCAUUGAUGAAUGAUGUUGUGUGAUGAUGUUGAAGUGUGUGAGUAGGGAGUGCACACGUGAUGAUGAUAGAAUGUGUGAGUAAAGAGUGCACACAUGAUGAUGUUGAAGUGUGCGAGUAGGGAGUGCACACAUGAUGAUGAUAUUACAUUGUGCUGAGUGUGGUGAGAAGGUAUGCUUGAUGAUGUAUGUAUAUAUAUAAAUAUGUGUGUUAUAUACAAUUCAUGAACAUGGUAUAUGAUUGUAAUACAUGUGAAAUCUUGCAUGUUGAACCUUGGAAAUUUGUAAGCAUUUUCAAGUUGAUCUUGUCUUUGCAGCAAAAUGGCCUUUUCUUGAAAGGAUGAAAACUUGUUGUUGGUGUCCUGUUUCUCGCUGCAGUAAAAAACUCUCGGGUUUAAGGAAGUUGCAUUGGUCUGGUUCUCGCUGCAGUGAGAAAGUUGCUGAAGCUUCUCGCUACAGUGAGAAACAUUCUGUCUUGAUUACCUCCUUGCUUGGUUGCUACCCAAUUUUCCACUUCUUUAGCACCAUAGUUGAUCAUGGACUUCCAACAGCAAGGAAUUUGAAAUGAGGGGUUUUAGUGAGAAACCCUUGGCCAGUUGAGAAACCCUUGGCUUGAGCCCAAAUUUCAUUACAACAGGAAUGCCUUCCCGUUGUAGUGAGGACUCGUCGUUUCACUUGACUUGCUUGAAUGCUAUUAAAGUUUUCACUCUUCAAAUCCUUUGUUGUGCAUGGAUCUUUUAUCGUCAAGUGAUUAAUUCAUUAAAUGUUAAUGAGGGGUUUUAAUAAGAAUUAAACUAAAUUACAUUAUUUUUGAAAGUAAGUGCAUUACGAUUUCUUAACUUUUCUUAUCGAUUGCUUGUUCCCUUCCUUUGUUCACUCACUAGGUUUAUACUCACCGUUUUCAACUUCAUGUUUUCAGAUCAAGAGGCAACCGAUAACUAGGUCGAGGUGUCCUUGUAGAUUCGUUUCCUUGGUAGGUAUCUCAACAUUCAAUAGUUGAACUUUUGCCCAAGUCUCUCCAAUGGAAGUCGAGUAUCCCUUUUGUUGUGUAUAGACAAACCCGAUGUAAAUUAUUAAGAUAUAUGGUUUAGAUAAUAUAUGUAUAUUUGAUUGGAAAUUCACUACGAGAUGGCAAUGGUUAGCAUUAUUUUAAAUUGAAAUUAUGAAAUGUGACUUUAAUAACUUACGAUGGAAUGAUGGACAAGUUAUAUAAAUAGGCUUGCUUAGGCUUAGUGGGCUACAUCCAUUAGGCCCAUACGCGGGUCAUGGCUCAGGAUUUGGGUCGUAAAACCAUAUCUAACUAAUCCAUCAGUGUCUCUAUUGAUCAUCUGUCCUUUCUUCCCUUAAUGAUCAUCCAAUGCCUUUGCCACAAAAUCAUCCUUGUCUUUGACCUCCUUGAUUUGAUCUAUUAAUAUCAAUUUCACUCUAAAAAGAACUAAUAAUGCAUCGGUAUCAUUUGCCUCAAAUCAAAUGCCCAUAUUGCCCAACUCAUUCAUACAUUGUAUUAGUGACCUUCUCUCCAUUGAUAUGUGGGCUAAACUUCUUGUAGAUUUUCAAUUUAAUGCAUUUGCCACCAUAUUAGCUUUACCGGUAUGAUACAAUAUAGUACAGUCAUAAUCUCUAAGCAAUUCCAACCAUCCGUGUUGCCUAAGAUUUAGAUCUCUUUGCUCAAAAAUGUAUUUGAGACUUUUGUGAUAUGUGUGAAGGGGAUUCGAAUCAUGCUAAAGUGAUCAUAUGCAGUAUAAUAUUAUUAAAAUUUUAAUCCCCUAAGCCAUUGAUAACUUUAAUUGAAACUAAUCUUGAAAAAUCACAAGAGCAAGAUUUCAACAUAAUGGAAAGUUUAAUGUCUACUUGCUUUGGUGGGGUCCGCAUAGGCUUCUAAUUUCUGACUUUUGUAUACCAACUAGGACUUAUCAAACCAUAGCAGUACAAUUGUCCUACCUUUAGUGGUGAUCCACAUAGUGAUUUGUCGAAAUCUCUUCAUUAAAAGUGUGUAAAUCCCUACAGCCAAUGUUUGUUCUAGCAAACUUUUAACUUUGAGCUCCUUAUGUUUCUCUCUUUUUGGUUGUGAUCUGAUCUCAACACAUGAGAAAAUAAAAAAAAAUGACUCUUUUGCACUUUCAAAAGGUGGAUAAAGGAUUCUUUUAUAUAGUGGAUUGACCUACUUCAUAUCCAACAAGGAUUAGAAAAUGUCUUGGGCUAAUUGUGCUUUUGUUUAAUACUCCAUCUAAUCAUAUUUGAUUUAGUCCAAUACCUAAUUGGACUAAGCUUCUAUAAAAUCAAUUAGAUCACAUCUAAUUGAACUCAAAUUAAUUUCAACAAUUCACCUUCUGUGUGUGACUCAUUACGUUCCUAACAUGUUGACAAUAAAUAUAAAUUAAUUCAAUUAGGAACUUAUAUUUAUAUUAUUGUUCAUGAGCAGCAUUUAGCAAUACAUCAUGACCACCCAAAUGUCAAGAGAGUUAGUAUGGUUUAACAAACCUUUUAGUAUAUAAUAUCUUAGUGUAAUUCGAUCCUUUCAUCAGAUAUCCCAAAUAGAUAAAAAGCCUAGUUUGGUGUCUACUUUCUAACUUAUCCAUAUUAGUCUUGUUGCUUUCAUAUUGACCUAUCAAGAUUGCCUUGCCCAAGGACUUUAAGUCGAUAUAAGCCAGAAGCAUGCUUCAUGCCACUCCCAAAAGCACCUUGUUUAGGCAUCUGGUUACCUCCAUACCUGUAGAGGUAAAAUCAAAGCGUGACAAUCCACAUACAAGAUAACUUGGUAUCAGAAGUCUAAGGAUUACUUACACUACUGACAUUGAGAGUAUUUCAAUAGAAACUUGAGUGAAAUGCCAAAUGAAACUUUCAUAACGGGUCAUGUUCAGUGAACUUGUUCGUUAACAAGCACCCACAUAUUAUCCCCAAGUAUCUCCCAUACUUCAACCCAUGAGAUCAAUUGCCUACUUCUAAAGUAAGGAGGCUUAGCAUGUACCAACCUUUGAGCAUUGUUAAUCUCCUUAUUUUGGACAAUACAUGUGAGACCUUGAUUUUUAUAGACUCGUAGCUAAAAGUAGACACGAUAACACAGACUAGGGGUAAUUUCAUCAUUUUCCUUAGUGGCUCUUAGAAGUGGGUUUUCUAAUAUUAUUAAGGCCUAAGUAGACCUAAGGAAUAAAUGAAUGAUGAAAAUGAGGAUAAAAUGAUGAAGGAAAUAGAAAUAAUGAUGAUUUUCAAGGUAGGGGCAAAAUGGUCAUUUUUCUUCUUGGGCCUAAAUUUUUUAGUUUUCAUGAACCCGAGUAUUUCUAGACUAUUAUGGACUUUAUCUCAAUGUCAAAACAGUAAAAAAAAGAUUGCACAAAAAAUUGGAGGAAGACAAAGCCAACUUGUUAAGGGCAUUUUCGUAAUUUAAGUGAAGUUUGGAUAAGCUUUAGCAUAAAUAUCUCAUUUCUCUAGUACCUUCCUCAUUUUUCUAGUAGCUUCUUCUUCUUCUUCCUCCCAUCUCACGUUUCUUUCAUCCUCCAUGAAAACUUCUCUCAAAGCUUCCAUCACCCUCUCAAACUAACCUUAAAUUUCAUGCUUAUACACACCUUGUUAUAGGGUUUUUCAUGCUCUUUCACUCUCUCACCUUAAAACCCUUAAAAAGUCUUACUCCCAUACUUUCUUUCACUAGUUAGGUGUUUUAGAGAGAAAAAGAGAUAAAGCUUCUAUAAUAGCUUGAAAAUUCUUGGAAAGGAAUUCACUUAUAAAGCUACCAAGGUGAGUAAUGAAGUAGAGUUGAUUUUUAAGUGUGGAGAAUGGCUAGUUAUUAGACUUGUGAGUGUUUUGUAGUCGAGGUUGUUUAUUCAUUUUAGAGUGAUUAGGAUAACGAAAGUAGAUAGCCACUUAAUUGCAAUUAGAAGCUAGUUAAGAGAUAGCUUUUAGAAUUUACAGUUAUGUGAAUUGAGUUAAUUGUGAUGCUAUUGUGAUGAUAGGUUCCAACGAAGCUCCACUGCCCCAUUUGGACCAUUAGUAGAAGUUGGAGUUGAUCUAAGAUUCAACAAAUAUCGAUGAGUGAACUUACAUUUCAAAAUGUUUUGGGAAGUGUCCACAUGUUUAAAUAAAUCAUUUGAAAGUUUCAUUUGUUUUUUCUUUAAAAAUAUACUUGGGGAAUAAACCCUUGAUGAAAUGUUUCUAUCUUGUGAAAUGUGCAAUAUGAAUAGUUUGUGUGUUAUCACAUUACAUUGAUAUGUGUAUUAUGCUUUGGAUACUCCUUUUGUGUGAUAAUGAUGACCCAACUAUGUGCGGUGUGGGAGUGCACAUGAGCUGAUGAUGACCCAGCUAUGUGCGGUAUGGGAGUGCACAUGAGUUGAUGAUGACCCAGCUAUGUGCAGUGUGGGAGUGCACAUGAGCUGAGUGUGGUGGGAUGGUAUGCAUGAUGAUGUAUGUAUAUAUAUAUAUAUAAAUGUCAUAGAAAGUUUAUGAAAAUAUUUGUGAUUGUGUUGUAUGUUGGCAUUGUUAAUUGCUCCCAAAUUGCUUUUCAUUUAAACAAGAAAAUUGCUUUUUGAUGUAACAAGACCCCUUUUAACUAAGUUGCUUUGUUUCUCACUGCAACGAGAAACUCUCGAGUUGGGAGGGGUUUACAUUGGCCUGGUUCUCAUUGUAGCAAGAACGUAUUCUCGCUAUAGCGAGAAAUUUGCUGAAUCUUCUUGCUGCAGCGAUAAACUCUCGAGUGGUUCAAAGAUUUUAGUGCACUACUUUCACUUUGACAAAGAUUUUGACCACCUUCUGACCAGAACUAGGCAAAGUGGUAAACAUAAAAGUUGUAUCCCAGCCUCUUAGCUUUCUAAUGACUAAAAAUCAUAUCAAUUGGACUUCUGUAGUGGGAGUUAUACUUGAAAAAUCGAAGCAUUAGCAAACCAAGACUGCCUCUUCACUGCAGCGAGAAAACCCUCUGUUUGCUUCUCUUGUUGGGUCAUUGCUAAAAUUUUCAUUCUAUUCAACUUCAUGGCUUAUCAUGGAUCUUGUAACAUUAAGGGAUUAAACAUUCAAAGUUUGGGAUGAGGGAUUUUAACCAAAACUUAGACUAAAUUGCAUGGUUUUAUCGUAAGUGAAUCAUGUUUUCUAAAACAUUCCUUAUCGUUGCUUGUUCCCUUCUUAUGUUCACUCACUGAGUUUAUACUCACUCUUUUAAAUUGCAUGUUUUCAGAUCCAUAGCUAUUUGGGACUGAGAUUAAGGAGACCACUCAUAUUCACCCCUUGGUAGGUAUAUGGCAUUUGAUAGUUGUGCCCUCACCUAAGUCACUCCGCUGGUCGUCAAGAAUUCUGUAUGUGGAUUUACACUUUAUGUAAAUCGCUAAGAUUUAGGCUACAAACAAUAGAAGCAUAUGUGAUAUGAUGAUGCAAUUAUGAGAUGGCAAUGAAUGACAGUAUUUUGGAUUAGUACAAAUAUAAAUAUUUGGUUGUCUUAUUUAUUAUCGAAAUACGUAUUAUUGAGAAUAAAGAUUUGUGGUUAAAAAUGAUGGUGGGAAUGAUGAAAUAGAAUUUCAUAAAUAAUCUUGCUUGGGCUUAGUGGACUGUGCCCAUUGGGCCCUUGGGUCGGUCAUGGCACGAAAGUUGGGCUGUGACAAUACAAUGAUCAGGAACAUAUUUAAGAAUAAGGCUUUGAUGCAUAAGAAUGUCAUAAUUAUAACCUUUAUAAUUUCUUUGCAAGGCUAUUAUGUUUAAAGGACUUUAUCUCCAUAAGUCUUUUAUAACUCUUUAUAAAUAAACUCAUGGAUAAAGAAAUACCUCAUACAUUUUAUAAAAUAUCCAUAAUGUAUUUAAUAUGAAACAUGACUAAUUAAUGUAGUGUUUUACAAGCAAAAAAUCGAUUUGCUUGUAGGGCUUACACUAACAAUCUCCCAUUAGCACUAAAGCCAAUCGCGCAUGGAUCUAAUACCAAAGCCCUCCAAGUGACAAUCAUGCUUCUGUUGGGUUAGAACUUUACUGAGAGGGUCAACUAAGUUGUCCUCCAUGGGUACUCUCUUUAUAUUAAUAUCACCUCUUUCAAUGAUCUCCCUGAUUAGGUGAUAACACUACAAUACAUGUUUGGACUGUUGAUGAGACUUCGGAUCCUUUGCUUGCAUAAUGGUUCCAUUGUUGUCACAAUACAAAGUUACAGGAUCAACAAUGCUAGGAACCACAACAAGUUUAGUUACAAACUUCUUGAUCCAAACUCCCUCCUUCGCUUUCUCGGAUAAGGAGAUGUAUUCAGCCUUGAUUGUAGAAUUUGAAAUCGUUGCUUGCUUGGAACUUUUCCAACUAAUAGCACUGUCAUUUAAGGUAAACAUAAACCCAUUUUGUGAUUUGUUGUCAUCCUUAUCGGCUUAGAAUGCAGCAUCUCCAUAUCAUUUCACUUGGAGUUCAGCCCUUCCAUAGACCAAAAAAUCCUUAGUUCUUCGUAAGUACUUAAGGAUAUUUUUCACAGCAAUCUAGUGACUCUUACUUGGAUUCGAUUGGUACUUGCUCGUGACAUUGAGAGCAUAUGCCACAUCUAGUCUAGUACAUAAGAGAGAAUACAAGAUAGAUCCCAUAGUCGAUGCAUUUGGUGUCUUAUCCAUCCUCAUCCUCUCAUCUUAUGUCUUUGGACACAUAUCUUUUGAAAGAUGAAUGCCAUGUGACAUAGGCAAGUGUUCCUUCUUGGACUUGGUCAUGUUAAACCUUUUUAACACCUUGUCUAUAUAAAUGGAUUGGCACAAUCCUAUCUACCUCUUUGAUCUAUCUUGUAUCAUGUGGAGAAAUUAAUGUGGUCACAACCUCAUAUAUCAACUCGUGGCCUAGCCACGACAAUGUUGGCCGACAUAGGAGAAAUCAUGUGGUCACAACCUCAUAUAUCAACUCGUGGCCUAGCCACGUCUAACAACCCGUCAAUGACCCAAAAGAUUCUCUAGCUACAGUCACUUGUGCACAAGGGUCACACUAUCCCGAUGUGACAUUCGCCUACUCUCGAUGCUCUCUAUUUGUCAAAAUCGCUUUCAAAACCAAAUCAAGGUUUUUAAGAGUUUUCUUUAAAUCUUUUGAAAACAAGGUUCGGUAACCUUUCAAAGUUGCUUUUCACAUUAAAAUGCAUGGUGUAAAUUUUUGCAUAAAGUUCGGACUAAAAUCGGUUCACAAGAAAUCAAGUUUAAGCCAUUUAUCAAGUGCAAUCAACUAUGCACACUUCACAAAGAUUCAAGGCACGAUUUUGAUGCAAAACAUUGCAAAAGGGCUUGUUUCCCAGUUUUUAAAACACUUUACAUAUAUGUAUAUAUAUCGUUUACACAUACAACUUCAAAAUCAAUUUGCAUCCACAAUUGCCUAUGGUUCCUACCAGCUCAUGCUUUUCACAAAAAUAGUGUAUAAAUUGCUCCAAAUCAUGUAUUCAAACCACUUAUCAUUUUCUAGCAACUCAUGUUUUCCACAAAGGCAUUGAAUAAUCAUUAACAAGUUACUAUACAUAUAACAUUUUAUAGUAUGGAAUCUUUUAAAAUAAACACCCCUUACUCACCUUACAAUGAUGGGAUAUUACUUCGCCACUAAUAUUUCCUCUAAUGCUUACUUUAUGCUUGUAGCAAUAAUCAUUGCUUUGUCAACUUCCUAAUAUCAUUUCAAUUCGAUACAUUUAAUAACCUUUGCUGCCAAUAUAUUUUACAUUUGCUGUUCGCAUUUAAUUCUAUACUUUUCUCUCUUAUUCUUAAGAGAUAACCGUUUACACUUAAUCUUUAGUGUAAACUUUGAAUUACAUAAACCCGAUAAUUUGUUUAUGACUUCAAAUGCCCACAUCAAUCUUUUAAUAACAUUUGUCAUGUUCAAACUAUUGUUUUGAAAAACUAUAAAUCCGAUUUCAUCAAGUAAUUUAUAAGCUUACAUGCGUAAUUGUCUAUCUAACUUUCAAUGCUUUAUUUCUCAAUCCUCCAUCCACAUUAUUCAUCCUUAUUUCCUUCAAAUAACAUAACAAGCAACCUUAUCAUUUCUAACUAGCUCAUGCAUUUUUAGAUCUUUUCAACAAUCAUCAUUCCUCACAUUGUGUCUUUCAAGUUUUCAAUCAACACAACAAUAGCCAUUUUCUCAAAAUCUUCCAACUAUAUACUUAAAGCAUUAUUCAAUUUUACCUUUGAGGUUGCUUGAGCCUCACAUGCACUCCAAUAUUCUUUUGAGUUUCAAUCACCAAGCUGCCAACAUUAUUCACAAAUUAUUUUCUUAGCAAUUUUACUAACCAUAGGCCUUAAAACACAAUACCAUGCUUACCUUUUCUCUUUCACUUUGAAUCCAUCAUGCGUCUAAGGGUUUGAUGGCUUGCAUGUCACUAAAUCCUCUCCAAUCAAGCUUUUCUUUGCUGCCACAAUACAUUUCUUAUGGUUACCAAUUGAUUGUCAAAACAUAAUCAAACCAAAACCACAAUGCUUACCCUUAUUUCUCUUGAACCAAGCUUUCCUCUUUCGUCAAGCUCCACGGUUCUUCUCUUGCAUGUUGAAGAUUCCUUUUUGGGUGAUGAAAUGUUAAACUCAACAAUGAAGAGCAAGGAACCCACGGUUUCCUUGAAUCCUCACAACUCGAGCCUUCCCCACUUUCCUCUUUUUUCUUUCCCUUUUCUACCUCUCAAGUAGAACUCUCAAAAACUCUUUCUUCUCUCUUUUCCUCUCUCAAUGGCUGGUUCUCUUAAGCUUCACCAAGGCCAAUUCACAUUUCUUUUACUCCUUGAAACUUGGUAUUUAUAUGGCCACCCAUUUAAUCAAUCAAAUUACAUGCACACAUUUGCCUUUCAUUUUCAUUUGGCCAUUUUUCCAACCAAUAAGUUUCAUGCAUCCUAUUUCCUUUCUUCCACAUUGGUUAGAAAUCCUCCUUUAUUAUCGAUAUCCAUUCUUUAAUUCAUUUCCACUUAAUCCCACCUUAUUUGUGCCCAAUGGUCUUUCAUGUAACUUUCCCACCUUAAUUUCCAUUUGGCCUCUUCUUUGGCCAAUGACAUUAAAUACAACUAUAUUUUCUCUUCUUUUAGUCUAAUUGUCGCCAAGAGUCCAUCAUGCAUAAAUUUUCCAUGCAUUCUUUUAACUUAAAAAUGCACAUGCAUGUGUUAUCUUAUUCAUUUUGUCUUAUGCCUUUUUGUUUGUCACAUGGUGGGAGACCCGCAUGUUCCCCACUACAAGUACAUCCUUGCAUGCACAUCUUUGCAUAUAAUAGUAUUUGUUACAUGCAUAUUCCAUCCUCCCACAUAAUCUAAUUUUCCUUGGUUGGUCAAUUUUCAUUUAACUUCAAAUGUUGAAAUUGCACAUAAGUCCUCAAAUUUUUCCUUAUUUACCAUUUGACCCUCCAAACUUUUCAUCAUUUACAACUUGGUCCUUCAAACAUUUCUUUAAUUUGAAUUUCCUUCUAUUUUUCUUCCAUUACACUUGUACUAAUAAAAUAUCAAAUUGACAUUUCACCAAGGUGUCACCACAAUAUUUAAAUAUAUACUUACCCUCUCUUACUUUAUUUAAUAAAGGCACGCAGGCCCCACUAAUAUUGUUUUUCUUCAAAAUUCUUUCUUACUUCUACUCCCCCACUUAGAUUAGCCAUAUAGUCCUCCUUCAGGACUAAUUUCAAUAAUAGAUAAAAUAUUAAUAUUUUAAUAUUAUUUUAUUCCAAAAUUCUCCACUUGUCUCCUCAGGUCCCAAAGUGUCUCACUUUGUUCUGGAUCACUUUCAAAUCACCUUUUAACUCGCUAACUCAUCCUCGAUAAAAUAUUAUUAUUCUUUUAUGUGUGAAAUAUUUUAGUCCAAAAUAUUCCUUUCACCUGUCAUAAUUCUUUGGCACUUAAAUUUACAUCAAUUGACCCUCUGUCUUGUCGAUAAGGUCUUAUUAAGUUCUAUAGGAGGGUACGGGGUAUUACAGAGACAAAAACAUUUUACUCGGUGGGAUUGUAAAAAUAGUAUCUUACCGUUUGUUUAGAAUACCUUACAAACUUGCAUUUGUAUGAUCUAGCUCCAAGCUUAUUAGAUGAUGCAUGCUUCACAUAAGUUGUACAUCACCAAAUCCUUGUAUAAGGCCUUUUCCCAUACCACAUCUCAUAUGGUGUUUUAUUAACCAAUUUGGUUAGAACCUUGUUAACAAGGUAAGCAGUAGUCUUUAGGGCAUAUCCUCAAAAGGAUGUUGGAAGGUAUGCCUACUCAUCAUGCAAUGAACUAUGUCCAACAAGGUUCGAUUUAUCUUCAUGGAGACUCCAUUUUGUUGUGGAGUUUCAAGUAGAAUCCAUUGUGACAAAAUCCCAUGUUUCGUUAAAUAAUCAAAAAACUCCUAACUUAGAUAUUCUUUUUCUCGAUCCAAUCGAAGAGUUAGAAUACUCUUCCCAGUUUGUUUCUCAACAUUAACCCUUAACUCUUUAAACUUUUCAAAAGCUUCAAACUUGUACUUCAUUAGGUACGCAUAACCAAAUCUAGAAUGGUCAUCUGUAAACAUAAUGAAAUACGGAUAACCUCCUCUAGCUGGUGUGUUUAAAAGUCCACAUUCAUCAAAUGUAUUAGCCUUAGGAGCACACUUACUCUUUCAGCCUUUCCAGUAAAAAGAGUCCUAGUCAUCUUACCAAGGAGACAACAUUCACAAGUUCUAUAUGAUUCAUAAUCAAAUGUAUCUAGAUAACCUUGUUUGUAUAACUUGGUUAUCCUUGUCUCAUUAAUAUGACCAAGUCUACAAUGCCAGAUGUAGGUUUGAUUUAGAUUAUCUUUUUUAGCUUUCUUGUAUCUAUAUUGAGCAUUGGGCUAUCAAGAUCCAUAACAUAAAGUCCUCCAUGACCUGCUGUGGAUCCAAAAAAUAUAUCAUUUAGAAUGAUAGUGCAAUAAUUGCCCUUCAUACUAAAUUCGAAAUCAUCAUUCUUAGUUAAGUUUGAAAACGAAAUGAUGUUUCUAGUUAACACUGGUACACAAUAGCAGUCUUUUAGCUCCAGCACUAAGCCCGAUGGUAAAAUGAGAUCAUAAGUCCCAAAGACAACUGUUGCAAUUUUUGCACCAUUGCCCACUCUUAGGACUACCUAUUUUUACCAAGCCUUGUACUAUCCUUUAAGGCCUUUAUGUCAAUAAAUAAAUGCGAUCCACAUCUUGAAUCUAUUAUCCAAGAUUUAGGAUUGGUGGUAGAAAGGUUAAGCUUAAUCAUAUUUAAAGUAAUCUCUUUACUUGUCAAGAUUGCACCUUUCCAUUUAUUAAGAACUUUUCUCAAAGUGAUAUACUAGUUUAAACAUUUUAGGCUAAUGGCAUCAAGUAUGCCAAACAAACAGGCAAUUAUUAUUAUACCCAUUCUAACAACCUAUAAAUAUAGAAAAAGUAUUUGUAUUAGUCUUUCAUGUUAUUGACCAAUUUAAGAUGAGGUAUUAAAUCUUACAUUGAUUCUCCCACUAAUUUUUUGUAAUAAAGGCUUCAUUAUUAUUUAAAAAUCUAUACUAGGCAUUUUUAGCGAGUUGGGACCCUUUCUGAAUUAUUGCAACCUUGAGUGACUCAACAAAUCACAAUAAGCCUAAUUUUAUAGUUAACAUAGCUUAUCAAUUGCAUCUUUAUACAACUCCUAGAUCAAUUGGUUGUUUAAGCAUCAUAUGCAUUUCGCCUAACCUUGCCCUUAAGAUCAUGUGGCCAAGUGUGACACAUCCAAACCACACAGUUUUAGUUGAGUAAAUGCCACCAAUAACUCAAACGUGCCCAUGUAAAAUUUUGACUUUCAAUGACUCAACAAGUAUCCAAUUAAAAAGGUAGCCUGGUUAUCUUUUUAUAUGGUGGAAGGUAAAUUAAUCAUGAGAAGCAUAAGACUCAAUAUUUUAAUGAGGGAUUUUUGUUGUUGCUUUUAUCUUGUUAUUUAGGUCUCAUCGAAUUUGGCAUGCAUAGCAUUUACAAUAUUGCAUAAAAUAAAUCUAUCACAUGCAUACUACUAGGAUGAUUAUGGACUUUUAUCUAAUCUAAUUUCCUUGAGCCAUAGAAGAAAAUUAGUUGGUCAAAUCUUGAGGGAUUACAUACAAAUAUCACCAUAUCUUGUAGUCUUGUAAUCUUCAUGUCUCCUUGGCGCCUUCGUCCUUCAUUCUUAAAAUUACAAAAUUUUCUUCCUAAUCUAAUCUUAUGAAUUCUAAUUACAUAUAUGUAAUGUAAUAUCCCGUACUUUGAUAUUGUGAGACCUUGUCAAGCUCGAUUAAAAGACGGUAUUGUACCGAGUGGUACAACUAAGUUAAAUCGAGCCUUGAACUAGUUCAAAUAGAAAUUCUAAGAGGAAUUUGAAAUUUUGAAACCCACAAAAUGGCUUAGAAUAGUGAUUUAGAGUUCAAGGUCCAGUUUGGAGUCCAUCAGGAAAAUUGACCGAUUAGGGACAAAACGGUCAUUUUACCAUUCGAUGAUAAAAUGGAGAUUUUUAGUCAAGAUUUAAUCACAUUUGACAAAGAAUAAUUAUAUGAGAUAUAAUUAUGAUUAUUGGAGUAUAAAAUGAUGUUUAGCAGUGAAAAAUUGUGAUUCUCGGUAUUUUUGGAACUCAAGGGUAAAAUGGUAAUUUUGCCACUAGAGGACUAAACGUGAAUUUUUAUAAAACAAAUUUUGCCCCAUUUGGUUAAUAAUGAUCAAUAUUAGUGUUAUUUGAGGUUGAAAAGUAGAAAUAAUGUGAUUUCGGUACAUUUCAGAGUAUAAGGGCAAAAUCGUAAUUUUUCCACCUCGAGGGUAAAUCGGUAAAUUUUUCGCCCCAGCAGUUGUCAAGAUCAAGGGAUUUUAAUUGUGGUAGGAUUGGAUAAAUACCAGAAUAUUUGUGGUGGAAAAUUAAGAAGAAAAAGUCAAAAAGUUAAAAAUUUAGGCCAAUAAGCAUGUGACACGUGGCAUGCUUGAUUAUUUUAUUAUUUUCUAUAGAAAUCAGCCCAUUAAAUCCCCAAUUCUCUCACCACAUUUGGCCUAGGCAACCAGCAACAAGAACAAAGGAAGAACAAAGGGAAAAAGAAGAAAAAUUGGGUGGAAAUUCAAAGAAAAAGUGAAGAAAUCAAGGAAACAAGCUAGGUAAGUUAGAAUUUCUUUAAUUCUCCUUGAUACCUAGCUUACCCAUGCUUUUGUUCUUGAUUUCCAUGGUUGAAUAUUGAGUUAUCAUGAUGAAUUCAAUUCUGAAAAAUGGGUAUGGAAGAGGAAUUGUUGUUGGAAUAAUUUGAUUUUAGACUAUGUUAGUGUUUAGGGAUAGUUAAGCAUGGUUAUGAACAAAAACACAAAAGAAAUAUUCAAUUUCUCUAGGGUUCCUUGUUGGCCGAACCAUGAGGGCUGAAUAUCAAUGGGGGAUUGUUUUUAUUUCAAGGAAAAUGGCAUGAAAAAUGAUGAAUUAAGGUGAAACGGUUAUGUAGAGAAAAAAUUCGAUGCUAGUGCACCAAAUGACCAAAUUUUUCUAUAAGGAACUGUGAGGGUUCUAAUGCUGAAUUUGGCUUUAUUUAAAUGUAUGUGGUAAAUUAAGGUAUUAGAGGAGAAAUGAAUUAAUUUGGAGGUGAUUUGGACACAAUCGUCGAUUAAUCGGGUGAUCGGUCGAAUUUAAUCGAUACCGUGAUUAAGCGGUAAUCAGACAUAUUUUUGCAUUUACAUAUCAAGCAUUAGUAAUUUAAAUUAAUUUAUAUCAAUUUAGGGACAAUAUAGUAAAUUCCUUGACUUUGUUAUUUGUCAAGGUGGUGAGACGUCCGGAAAAGGCAAAGGAAUUGCGCCUGAGGACUAUUAGUCCAAGUGCACUCGAAAUCUGAAUUUUUGAUACCGGUGAGUGGACUUGCAUUUCAAACUUGUUUUGGGGAAUAUGAAAGAUUCUAUCCAACUUGUCUUAGAAAAUGUACCUUGGGAACAAGCUUUUAGUAAAAUGAUUUUAUAUUGUGAAAAUGUGCUAUACAAUGGUUUAUGUGUUAUCACAAUAUGAUAAAAUGCAUGAUAUGCAUUGGAUGCUUCUUUGCAUGUUGAUUUGGACCCGGCUAUGUGCGAGUAGGAGUGCACAUAAGCCGUUGCUGACCCGACUAUAUGCGCAUAAGCCGUUGCAUAUGAGAUGAUGAUGAUGGGAUGAUGUGCAUGAUGAUGAUGAUGGGAUGGUGUGCAUGUUGAUGAUGGGUAUAUGGUUGUAAAUGCAAAUAUGUAAGCAUUUGUUUUGUUGAAAUUUGGAAGUUUACAUGUGUUACAUGUUGCUAUUGUUAUUUUAGCAGGAUGACUUGUUUUAAGGGAAAAAGGAGACUUUUUCCUUGAUGUUCUGGUUCUCGCUGCAGCGAGAAUGAAGUUCGCUACAGCGAGAAACUUUCUGUCCAUUUUGCUAACUUGUGGGUUUUUGCCAUAUAUCCCAUUUCUUUGGUACCAUAGUUGAGCAUGGAUUUUUGUAAAGUGAUUUACUCAUGUGGGGUUUACAUGAGGGGUUUAAAGGAGCUAAAACAAUUGCAUGGUUUUGAGAAAAUGAAUGCAUCAUGAUUUCGAUAAACAUUCCUUAUGGUAUGCUUGUUCCCUUCUUGUUCACUCACUGAGUAUUGUACUCACGUUUUAUAAAAAUUCAUGUUUUCAGAUCAAGUGACUGUUGGACCCUAGAUCGAGGAGUCCCCGUAGUGCAUCUCUUGGGUAUGUGUCUGGCAUUCGAUAGUAAUCCCUUUUAUUGUAAAUGUCUCCACUGGAAGUCAUGGGUCCUUUUGUAUUGUGAAUACAAUCUAACAAUGUGAAUACGUGUAUGCAAUGUAAAUUGCUAAAUACAUGACUGGUAUAGUGCAUGUAUAUUAUUAUCGAUAAUGCCAUUGUGUUUUGGCUAUGUUCACACUUGGGAAAAGGUGUGUGUGUGUAUGCAUGAUAUGAUAAAUUUGUUAAGCAAAGGUAAAUGGAUAGGCUUGCUUGGGCUUAGCGAGCUAUGCUCAUGGAGCUCAUGCGUCGGUCAUAGCUUGAAAAAUUUGGUCGUGACGGAUAUGGUGGCUAAUAAAGCUUAUCGGAUGCUAAUUGAGGUUAAUUGGAAUGUUUAAAAGUGAUGAAAGGUGAAAAGAGUAUAUUAAGAUAAUAUAUUUCGUACGAGAAAAAAUAAUAAUAUUUUUAUUAUAGAGGAAUUUGUGAGAUUAAAAGUGAUUUGGAAGUGAAUUGAAGCAUAAUAAGGUAUUUUGGGUGCCAAGUAGACAAGUGAAAAAUUUUAGAAUCAAAUAAUAUUUUAUUAAUAAAAUAAUAUUAAAAUAUUAAUAUUUUAUUCAGUGUCGAAAUUUUCCAUGAAAAGGGAGUAUAUGGUCAAUCUAAGUGGGGGAGAAGACAAACGAGGAAAUUUCAGAGAAAAAUGAUGUUAAUGGGGCCUAUAUGCCUUUAUUAAAUAGAGAUAGCUCGGGUAGAUAAAUAUUUUAAAUAUCAUGAAGACACCAUGUUGGAGUACAAACUUUAUAUUUCGUUUGUACAUUUGUAAAAGAAGAUAAUGAAAAGAAAUUGGAAUUAAAAGAUUGUGGGAGGAUACAAUUAAAAAAGGUGAAAACCUUGAAAGGCAAAAUGGUAAUUUUGCCACUAAAGUGGUCAAAGCUUCCAAAGGAAGCUUUGACUCUUCAUCCUUAUCCUUGGUUGAUCCUUAUCUCUCAGAGAUGGCGUUUUUUCUUCUCCAUCUCCUUCCUCCCACGCCAUUUCCAUACUUGCACCCCAUUUUCAUUUUACUUCCAUGCAAUUAAAGAGAAAAAUAGAGAGAAUUAGCUAAGGAAAGGAAGGAGAGAGAGGUGGAAGGCUUGGGUAGUAAAUGAUUCAAGAGUAAUUGAAGAAAUAUCAAUUGGGUCUCAAGAUUCAAGAAACAUAAGGUAAGGGUUUUUGUGUUUUAAGCUCAUGGUUGGUUAAAUAUUUGGAAAAAUGAUAUGUGAAUCAUUUUGUGGCAGCUAUGGUGACCAUGAGUGUGAGGAAAUUAUGAAUUUUGUUGGGUGAAAUCCAAGCUAAAACCAAGUGGUAAGCUUAAUGCUACAAUUUGAAGCUUAUGAUUGGUUUAAUAUUGUGAGAAUGAUUGUAUGCAUAUGUAGUGUUAUUGUGAUGUCAUGGGUAUAAUUGGAAGGCAAGUAUAUUAAUUGGAAGUUUGGUGUGUAGACAUGUGUUGUUAGGAAAGGUUUAAAAGGUUAUGGAUGUUGGUGUGCAUGAAUGAAUAUUAAUGUUAUGCUUGGGGCAACAUGUAAAUGAGGAUGGGGGUACAUGUAGACUUAGAAAAUGUUUUAUAGAAGUAAUUUAUAGUUGCUGCCAUAUGAUAGGUAAUUAUUAUGGAAAUGAUGGAAACUUGAUAAAUAUCCUUAGAAAAAACUAAUAUAUGUGCUAGAGUCAUAAACAAGUUGCCAGUNAUAUCCUUAGACAAGAUUUAUAUAUGUGCUAGAGUCAUAAAUAAGUUGUCAGUAUGUCAAGCCCGACUCUACAAUAUGUUUAUUAUGCUAUUCCUACAUAAGAAUGCAUGUUUGCUUACUUGGGUAACUCAAAAAUCGUUAAAGGACGGUAUUAUACCAAAUGGUACAAUUAAGUUGAAUUAAGCCUCAAACUAGUCCAAAUAGAGAUUUUAAGAUGAAAUUGAGAAUUUUAAAAGCCCAGAAUGACUUAAAAUAGUGAUUCGGAUUUCGAGGACCGAUUUGGAGUCAAAUUGGAAUUUUCAUGACUUAGGGGCAAAAUGGUUAUUUUGCUACCCGAGGUAAAGAUAUGAGUGUUGGAUGAAAUUUUUUUCUAAGAUUGAUAAUUUGGAGUAUAAUUUGAGUUUGAGAAGUGAAAAAUUUUAAUUCCGACAUUUUUUCAAGCAUAGAGGCAAAAUAGUCAUUUUGCCACCCUAGGGGAAAAAUUGUAAUUUUACAGACCCAACACUUGUCCAGCAGAUGAAAUUCACCCAUUAUUAUUAUGGACAAUUGAGAAAUUUUAAAUGGUGGAGAGAGAUUGUUUAAUGGGUAAGUAUGACACAUGGGCCAAUGGAAUGGUGACAUGAGUCAAAUUUUCAUCCAUUUAUUAUUUGGCUUUAAAAAUCAGCCCAUAACCCUCCCAACUCAUUUCUGUUGGCCGGCUAAAGGAAGAAAAGGGAAGAAAAGAAGAAGAACAAAAACCUAGCUAAGAAAUUCAAGAGAAAUUCACAAAAUUUCAAAGAAUCAAGUGACAAAAGGUAAGAUUUUUCAAUUCUAGCUUGUGAUUUACCUUUCCUAUGCAUUCUUUUGCAUUUUCCAUGGUUGAAUCACAUGAUUUCAUGAUGGGUUUCUUGCUGGCUGAACACUUAGAGAGAGAUUUUGAUGGUUGUUUUGGUUAAAGUUUAAGAUAUUUUAGUGUUUUUAGAUAGUUAGUGAUGUGUAGCAUGAAAAACAAACAAGAAAACUUCAUGUUCUUCCAUAACCCAUCAUUGGCCGAAUCUUCCAUGUAGAGUGUGGAUGGUCGAUUUGAUUUUAUUUCAAGUGAAUUGGUUAGGAAAUGAUGAAUUACGGUGAGAAAAUCAUGUAGGAAAAAUCAUAGUAUUGAUGCACCCACCAUGGCCGAAUUUUCCAAGAGAAAAUGUGGGGAUGAUUUUGCCAUAUUUCAAGUUAUUUAAUUUGUGUUUGAUGGUUUGGAGAAUUGGAAGUAAAAUGGAGUUAAUUGGAGUUAAAUUGGACAUAUUGACCAAUUAAUCGAGUGAUAGAUCGAAUUAGGCCAAUAUCGUUUUAUUUAGGUACACAAUUGAAUUUGUGUAGAACACCGUGUUUAGACGAUAAUCCGAACAAUUUACAUCCCAUUUCAUGCAUUAGUAUAAAGCCUGAAUUGGUUUUACAACGGUUUAGCACAAAUGUAGUAAAUGGCUUAUAGUGCAUUAUGUCUAGGUGGUGACCUUUUUGGCAAAAGUAAAAAAUAGUACCCGAGGAUCAAGAAUCGGAGUACUCGAAACUCGAUUUCCAUAAAAGUGAGUAACCUUACUAUCAUCUUAAUUAUCUAAAGUGGUUUUUAUUAGAUUUUGUGAUUUUAUGGAAAAUGAGUUAAAUGGUAAAUCUUUGUGUUUUGUAAUUAAAAUGUGAUUUAAUGAAAUGAUUUUCUAACAUUGUCUUGAAAUUGAAUGAUGGUUUGAAAAUCGAGUAAUUGGAGACUGUUUUCAUGUGUAGUAAAUUCAUGGUUUGAAUCGAAUGGCUUAUGAUAAUAUUUGCAUGAAUGGCUGAAUUGGUAUUUGUGUUGAAAUAUAUGAAUUGUGUAUUUAGCCUUGAGAGGCUGGAUUAUGAUAUAAUUGCCAUGUCAUGCAGUUGAGAUUUUAUUCAAUUGGUGGGUUUAGCUUUCUGCAAUGAGCAGGUUCCGUGGACCAGCCUAUUAAAGGGGCACGGUAACCUCGUUAUAUUCUUACCUCGGUCGGAGAGGCAUGUAGGGUAACUCCCGAGGUACAACUUUAAAGUUCACUUCACGCCAAACCACCAUGUGAGGGUGAACUCAGCCAACGCCAAGGAACGGCUAUGUUUUCAAAGUGAAAACAUGAUUUAUGCGUACAUGACUUUUUAACAGCCUUGGCGGACUCGGUUGGGAUAGCCUAAAGCCAAGGUAUCCCUGAUAACUGAGUAUGAGAAUGAUUUUGGCACAAGCCAAAGUUUUCAGAAAUUCAUAAGCCAUGUUGAUUACUCGAUUUAUAUGAAUUGAUUUUAUUUGGUUGAAAUGAGUUGAAAGGUGAUGAAUUACAGUAUGAUAAUCUAUUUUAAUUUAUCUCCAUUUACUCAGUUUUAGAUAUUUUAGAUGGUAUUUGUUUACUCACUAGGAUUAUAUAAUCUUACCUCCCUCAUUUCCACCCAUUUCAGGCUUAGGAUAGUCGGUAAAUAGCUCAUUUCAUUGAAGGCUGCAGUUGGACUUGCAUCCUCAAAAACUGUAGGUUUAUCGCUUUUGAUACUUUUGGUCAUUCGUGGGCUGACGUGUCACUGUAAAUUAAAUCUUAUGCUUUAGUUAUCUGUAUUACAGUAUGUAUGAAUUUAUUUAGCUUUUACGCUACAAAAAUUAUUUACUGGUAACUCUAUAAAUAUUGUUUUGUAAGAAAAUAGAAUAUUUUUAUUAUAUUCAAAUAGUCAUAAUUUCAUUUUAAAUGAAGGUUUUAGACUUUUAAACUUAUUUUUGAUUAUGAAUUAUGUGUUUUAUACUAGCAUACUACAUUUUUAGCUAGUUUCAAAAUUUUCGAGGAAAAAUGACCAAAAUGCCUCUGUGAGACAGAAAUCAUUUUUUUUAUUGAUUUGAGUUGGAAAUAGCUUAAAAUCUUUUAGAACAUGAUAUUUGGCAACGGUUACUCAUAGGGGAAAUGAGAAACUGAUAUUAAAGCCUUGCGAGGUUCUGGUUGACAUUUCGGGUAAUGAGUGUCGAUCAGGACAUCGAGACGGUUGUCACGGGCUAGAGGGGAGUACCGGGUCGUGACAAUUAUAGUGGUAUCAAAGCUUUUGAUUUUAAAGAUUAGAGCUUUUGGGUUUAAAGUUGUUUUAAAAACUACAGUGUUAGUGUGGCCCAAGUUAAGUUAUGUUAAGUUAAGUUAAGUUUGAUAUAAUAGAAUACGUGCAUCUGCAUAUAGAAUUUGGAGUUGUUUAGACUCAUUCUGUUUCUUCUUAUAGAUCUUAUGGGAGCAUAAGUCAUAGACAGGGAGCUAUAUGAACUCCUAUUCCCAAUAAUCUACUUCCUUGUUAAUGUCAUGCAAAGGUCAUAAGUAGGGCCAUUGUCCGGGUUUAAGAUGCCACCUGUGACACAAGCUAGUGUUAGAGAGAUCUUAAAACAAAUGCUCCUAAUGAAAGAUUAAUGAAAUGAUAUAUCCCUUCGAAUAAGGAUGGAGAAAUUUGGAGUUUGACUAAUAGGCCUUGAUAAUUUAUUCAUUUGGUGGAGUUAUAAUUGAACUCAUGGUUGUCAAUUGGAAAAAGAUUUGGGGACUAUGGAUUGUAUUGGGGUCAAUAUAAAGGAGCACGUGUGAUAAUGGUAAUAAGGGGCGCACUUUGAUUAGAAUGAAUAGUGAUGGUUGUAAUUCACUUGGAGUGUAUAAAUUAAGCAUUGAGGUAAGAGUAAACCCACACUUAUGUGCAUGAAGAUAAGAACACUAUGUUAAUUGAGCUUGUUAUGCCCAUAUAAAAGUGGUGUUAGGAUUUUGAAAUAUUUUAUAUGUGAAUAUGUAUUGAAUAGGUACAGUAGCUUAGAGGGAACUAGUGUUGAUUUCAAUUAAGCGAUUGUGAGAUUUCAAGAAUUGAUUGGACCUAUUAUAGUUCAUGGAUCUAAGCACGUGAAUGAACUCGAGAGUGAGUAUCAAUGAUUACUAUAAUUGAUGUGUGGUCAUGAAGUAAGAAGUUAGUAAACAAAUCUGCUCUAAGGAUGAGCUUAAACUUUGCUACGCAUAGCAAGGGGAGCCAAGGGAUUAAAGGACUAGAUGUGGAAUUGACAGCUUGAGGUUAAAUGACUUGGAAAUGUCGAAUCUAGUCUAAGUGCCAUAUGAAGUUCUAUAAUUGAGACUGAUAUACGAAUUACUUGAAAGAUCAAUUUAAAAGUUUAUUCGGUUCAAAGUGUGGCCUAUGACGCGAAUGAUCAGUCUUGAAGGCGAUCUCCCCAGAGUAAAGAAUUUAGAAAAUGUUGAUGUUUGGGUAUACUAUAAGAGAGAGAACUUCUGCAUCCUAAGUUUAGGACAACUUUAACCUUAUGAUUGCAAAGCAAGGUGUAAUAACUAAGUAAAUUAUUCACUUGAUAAAUGUGAUUGGUUAUUGAAGAAUAAAGUCAAGAUCUUAACAUUUAGUGAUACACAAUUUGAUAAUUAUGUAUUUAAGAGUUAUUUGGAGACAAUUCCUUCAUCAAAUUUGCACUAAAUGCUAUGGAAAAGGCAUAUCAAUGUUAAUAUGGAAAUGUAUCCAGGAAUGAUNNNNNNNNNNNNNNNNNNNNNNNNNNNNNNNNNNNNNNNNNNNNNNNNNNNNNNNNNNNNNNNNNNNNNNNNNNNNNNNNNNNNNNNNNNNNNNNNNNNNNNNNNNNNNNNNNNNNNNNNNNNNNNNNNNNNNNNNNNNNNNNNNNNNNNNNNNNNNNNNNNNNNNNNNNNNNNNNNNNNNNNNNNNNNNNNNNNNNNNNNNNNNNNNNNNNNNNNNNNNNNNNNNNNNNNNNNNNNNNNNNNNNNNNNNNNNNNNNNNNNNNNNNNNNNNNNNNNNNNNNNNNNNNNNNNNNNNNNNNNNNNNNNNNNNNNNNNNNNNNNNNNNNNNNNNNNNNNNNNNNNNNNNNNNNNNNNNNNNNNNNNNNNNNNNNNNNNNNNNNNNNNNNNNNNNNNNNNNNNNNNNNNNNNNNNNNNNNNNNNNNNNNNNNNNNNNNNNNNNNNNNNNNNNNNNNNNNNNNNNNNNNNNNNNNNNNNNNNNNNNNNNNNNNNNNNNNNNNNNNNNNNNNNNNNNNNNNNNNNNNNNNNNNNNNNNNNNNNNNNNNNNNNNNNNNNNNNNNNNNNNNNNNNNNNNNNNNNNNNNNNNNNNNNNNNNNNNNNNNNNNNNNNNNNNNNNNNNNNNNNNNNNNNNNNNNNNNNNNNNNNNNNNNNNNNNNNNNNNNNNNNNNNNNNNNNNNNNNNNNNNNNNNNNNNNNNNNNNNNNNNNNNNNNNNNNNNNNNNNNNNNNNNNNNNNNNNNNNNNNNNNNNNNNNNNNNNNNNNNNNNNNNNNNNNNNNNNNNNNNNNNNNNNNNNNNNNNNNNNNNNNNNNNNNNNNNNNNNNNNNNNNNNNNNNNNNNNNNNNNNNNNNNNNNNNNNNNNNNNNNNNNNNNNNNNNNNNNNNNNNNNNNNNNNNNNNNNNNNNNNNNNNNNNNNNNNNNNNNNNNNNNNNNNNNNNNNNNNNNNNNNNNNNNNNNNNNNNNNNNNNNNNNNNNNNNNNNNNNNNNNNNNNNNNNNNNNNNNNNNNNNNNNNNNNNNNNNNNNNNNNNNNNNNNNNNNNNNNNNNNNNNNNNNNNNNNNNNNNNNNNNNNNNNNNNNNNNNNNNNNNNNNNNNNNNNNNNNNNNNNNNNNNNNNNNNNNNNNNNNNNNNNNNNNNNNNNNNNNNNNNNNNNNNNNNNNNNNNNNNNNNNNNNNNNNNNNNNNNNNNNNNNNNNNNNNNNNNNNNNNNNNNNNNNNNNNNNNNNNNNNNNNNNNNNNNNNNNNNNNNNNNNNNNNNNNNNNNNNNNNNNNNNNNNNNNNNNNNNNNNNNNNNNNNNNNNNNNNNNNNNNNNNNNNNNNNNNNNNNNNNNNNNNNNNNNNNNNNNNNNNNNNNNNNNNNNNNNNNNNNNNNNNNNNNNNNNNNNNNNNNNNNNNNNNNNNNNNNNNNNNNNNNNNNNNNNNNNNNNNNNNNNNNNNNNNNNNNNNNNNNNNNNNNNNNNNNNNNNNNNNNNNNNNNNNNNNNNNNNNNNNNNNNNNNNNNNNNNNNNNNNNNNNNNNNNNNNNNNNNNNNNNAAACUUAAGCAUAUAAUUGGAAAUGAUAAGAAGAGAGUAUAAGUAUGUAAAUGAUGUGGAACUAUGCACAGGCAUGAUGAGAAUUUGUAUGAAUUAUGAAGAUUAUUCUAUGGAAUCUUGGUUAUGGAUGGGAAUGAACAAAGAGAAAUUAGUCUGAAGAUAUUUGAAAACAGAGACCCGUAUACAUAAUGAGGAAUAUGGACAUUUGAAUGUGCGUGUAUACUUGUGUGUGGUGUUAGUGAUGUACCCAACUAAAAUGAAGAAUGGUUUUAGUGGUUCGAGACUUGAACUCAAUAUAUUUGAUGAGUGUAUAGGUAAUGUAACGAUCAAGAAUCUUAUCGGAAGUCGAUUUAUGGUAACCUAAGGAAUUUUUGGGAAAUAGUUAAGGGAAUGUAAUCUAUAGUGCGAUUAAGCCAUAUGAGAUGAAUUAAUAGGAUUAAAAAGAUUGAAAUUUCCUAAAUGUAGGGUAAACAUGAAGUAUGUGGAAAUAAUUGAAGCCAUUAAUCUCCCCUAACGCUGAAGAUAUGUAUAGGAAUGAGUAUGGCAUGUUAAUGAUGCCGUAAACUACACAAUAGUGUAUGAGGAUAGGAUGAAUGAAUGAAAGUCAAGAAAUUUGAUAUGGAAUGAAGUAAUAAGAUAGUGAUUUGUAUACCUAAAUAAGUAUAAAAUGCGAUCAAAAUUGGUAUGAUUGAGAUGGAGUUAUGGUUCAAGUUUAAUGAUAGUAAUAGAAGCAUGCUUGGUGUCUCGAUAUAAGAGAUCAUAAUUGUGAAGGUUACUGUUCAUCUGAUUUUAAAGGAUAAUAAUAGACAUAAGUGAAGUACUUGAGUUGAAUUGGAGGUAAAUGAGGUGAAUAAAUCAAAAUUCCCUAUAAAAGGGGAGCACAUAAGAAGUCGAGCAUUAGAUGAGAAAAUAAUACCCCUACCUUUUCUCUAAGUUCAAUAAAUGAAAUUUUGAGGUCAAAAUUUUAUUUUAAAGGGGGUAGUGCUGUCAAGCUCGGCUCUACAAUAUGUUUAUUAUGCUAUUCCUACAUAAGAAUGUAUGUCUGCUUACUUGAGUACCUCAGAAAUCGUUAAAGGACGGUAUUGUACCAAAUGGUACAAUUAAGUUGAAUUAAGCCUCGAACUAGUCCAAAUAGAGAUUUUAAGAUGAAAUUGAGAAUUUUAAAAGCCCAUAAUGACUUAAAAUGGUUAUUCGGAGUUCGAGGACCGAUUUGGAGUCAAAUUAGAAUUUUCAUGAUCGAGGGGUAAAAUGGUCAUUUUGCUACCCGAGGUUAAGAUGUGAGUGUUGGAUGAAAUUUUUUGACAAAGAUUGAUCAUUUGGAGUAUUAUUUGAGUUUGAGAUGUAAAAAAUUUUAAUUUUGACAUUUUUUCGAGCAUAGAGGCAAAAUAGUCAUUUUGCCACCUCAGGGGCAAAAUUAUAAUUUUAUACACCCAACACUUGUCCAGUUCAUGAAAUUCACCCAUAAUUAAUAUGGAUAAUUAAGGAAUUUUAAAUGGUGGAGAGAGAUUACUUAAUAGGUAAGUAUGACACAUGGUCCAAUGGAAUGGUGACAUGUGUUAAAUUUUCAUCCAUUUAUUAUUUGGCUUUAAAAAUUAGCCCAUAACCCUCCCAACUCAUUUCUCUUGGCCGACCAAAGGAAGAAAAGGGAAGAAAAGAAGAAGAACAAAAACCUAGCUAAGAAAUUCACAAAAUUUCAAAGAAUCAAGUGACAAAAGGUAAGAUUUUUCAAUUCUAGCUUGUGAUUUACCUUUCCUAUGCAUUCUUUUGCAUUUUCCAUGGUUGAAUCACAUGAUUUCAUGAUGGGUUUCUUGCUGGCCGAACACUUAGAGAGAGAUUUUGAUGGUUGUUUUGGUUAAAUUUUAAGAUAUUUUAGUGUUUUUAGAUAGUUAGUGAUGUGUAGCAUGAAAAACAAACAAGAAAAAUUCAUGUUCUUCCAGAACCCAUCAUUUGCUGAAUCUUCCAUGUAGAGUGUGGAUGGUGGAUUUGAUUUUAUUUCAAGUGAAUUUGUUAGGAAAUGAUAAAUUAUGGUGAGAAAAUCAAGUAGGAAAAAUCAUAGUAUUGAUGAACCCACCAUGGCUGAAUUUUCCAAGAGAAAAUGUGAGGAUGAUUUUGCCAUACUUCAAGUUAUUUAAUUUGUGUUUGAUGGUUUGGAAAAUUGGAAGAAAAAUGGAGUUAAUUAGAGUUAAAUUGGACAUAUUAGCCAAUUAAUCGAGUGAUAGAUCGAAUUAGGCUAAUACCGUUUUAUUUAGGUACAUAAUUAAAUUUGUGUAAAACACCGUGUUUAGACGAUAAUCUGAACAAUUUACAUCCCAUUUCAUGCAUUAGUAUAAAGCCUGAAUUUGUUUUACAACGGUUCAACACAAAUAGUAAAUGGCUUAUUGUGCAUUAUGUCUAGGUGGUGAGCUUUCUGGAAAAAGCAAAGAGAUAGUACCCGAGGAUCAAGAAUCGGAGUACUCGGAACUUGAUUUCCAUAAUAAUGAGUAACCUUACUAUCAUCUUAACUAUCUAAAGUGGUUUUUAUUAGAUUUUGUGAUUUUAUGAAAAAUGAGUUAAAUGGUAAAUCUUUGUGUUUUGUAAUUGAAAUGUGAUUUAAUGAAAUGAUUUUAUAACAUUGUCUUGAAAUUGAAUGAUGGUUUGAAAAUAGAGUAAUUGGAGACUGUUUUCAUGUGUUGUAAAUUCAUGGUUUGAAUCGAAUGGCUUAUGACAAUAUUUGCAUGAAUGGCUGAAUUGGUAUUUGUGUUGAAAUAUAUGAACUGUGUAUUUAGCCUUGNNNNNNNNNNNNNNNNNNNNNNNNNNNNNNNNNNNNNNNNNNNNNNNNNNNNNNNNNNNNNNNNNNNNNNNNNNNNNNNNNNNNNNNNNNNNNNNNNNNNNNNNNNNNNNNNNNNNNNNNNNNNNNNNNNNNNNNNNNNNNNNNNNNNNNNNNNNNNNNNNNNNNNNNNNNNNNNNNNNNNNNNNNNNNNNNNNNNNNNNNNNNNNNNNNNNNNNNNNNNNNNNNNNNNNNNNNNNNNNNNNNNNNNNNNNNNNNNNNNNNNNNNNNNNGGUAUCCCUGAUAACUGAGUAUGAGAAUGAUUUUGGCAUGAGCUAAAGUUUUAAGAAAUUCAUAAGCCAUGUUGAUUACUUGAUUUAUAUGAAUUGAUUUUAUUUGGUUGAAAUGAGUUGAAAGGUGAUGAAUUACAGUAUGAUAAUCUAUUUUAAUCUGUUUCCAUUUACUCAGCUUUAGAUAUUUUAGAUGGUAUUUGUUUACUCACUGGGAUUAUAUAAUCUCACCACCCUCAUUUCCACCCAUUUCAAGCUCAGAAUAGUCGUUAAAUAGCUCAUUUCGUUGAGGGCUACAAUUGGACUUGCAUCCUAAAAAACUGUAGGUUUACCGCUUUUGAUACUUUUGGUCGUUCGUGGGCUCAUGUGUCACUGUAAAUUAAAUCUUAUGCUUUGGUUUUCUGCAUUACAGUAUAUACGAAUUUAUUUAGCUUUUACGAUUCAAAAAUUAUUUACCGGUAACUUUAUAAAUAUUAUUUUAUAAGAAAAUAGAAUAUUUUAUUAAAUAUUUUUAUUAUAUUCAAAUAGUCAUAAUUUCAUUUUAAAUGAAGGUUUUAGACGUUUAAACUUAUUUUUGAUUGUGAAUUAUGUGUUGUAUACUCGCAUACUACAUUUUUAGUUGGUUUCAAAUUUUUUGGGAAAAAAUGAUGACAAUGCCCCUGUGAGACAAAAAUCAUUUUUUUUAUUGAUUUAAGUUGGAAAUAGCUUAAAAUCUUUUAGAACAUGAUAUUUGGCAACGGUUACUCACAGGGGAAAUGAGAAACUGAUAUUAAAGCCUUACGGGGUUUCGGUUGACAUUUCGGGUAAUGAGUGUUGAUCGGGACACCACGGCAGUUGUCACAGGUUCGAGGGGAGUACCGGGUCGUGACACGGUAUCGAUAAUCUAAAGAAUUACGCAAGUAAAGGACAAAGGCCACAUUGGUAAAGAAUGUGUCAAGAUAUAAGUUAGUUGAAUAAGGAUUCAUGAUUGAAGGGAAAAGAGAAGUAGAAAAUGAGGUAGACUAAAGAUAUUGAAUUUCGAUUGUUGCUAAAAAGUACAAAAGUACAGAUAGUGUAGUGUGGUAGCAUGCCGGAGGAAAUCACGAGCGACCAGAAAGUAGCAAUAGCUAGAUACGCCUCUUAACUAAUAGCGAUGUAACAUCCUGCUAGCAUAAGGUGAGUGAACUUGCAUUUUAAAUGCUUUGAACAAACACAUAUGUGUUUAAAUAAAAUAUUUGAAUAUCCUUGGUUGAUUUCUUUUAAAAUUAUGCACGGGAACAAGCUUUUCACAAGUAAUUCUUUUACGUGGUUGAAUAAAUAAUGUGCUGAGUUAUGUACUUGGAAUGUUAUGUUGAUUUGCCAUUGAUUUGUGGCAUAUGUGUAUUGGAAAUCCUGAGAUGUCCUAAAUUAUUGGAAAAAUGAAUAAUGUUAUUCUUUUUGAGUGUUGGAUUGUUCAACUUGUUUAUGACCAGUAAAAUAAUGAAUUAUGUGAGAUAUAGCAUUAUGCAAAGAUUUUUGUUAUGUGCUGAUAUGUUUGUUAUUCUUUGAAAUGUAAUGUUGAUUGAUUAAUAUAAUUGUGCAUGUGCGGUGUAAGAGUGCACAUGACGGUGCCGGUAAUAAUGUAGGCAGGAGUGCGUGUGAUGGUAUUGAAAUGUACGUGUAGGGAGUGCACAUGAUGAUAUUGCCUUGUGCGUGUAGGGAGUGCACAAAAGUUGAUGAUCGGUGGUUGCAUGUAUGUUUAUAUAUUCAUAAGCUAUAGAGACGUUUAUAUAUGCUAUAGAAAUGUUUACAUAUGCUAUGAAAAAGUUAAGAAAAUAUUAUGUGAUUGUAUUGAAUGUUGAAAGCUGAUUUUCUUAAAUGUUUUAAAUGAGUUAAAAGACAACAUGGCAUCAAGUUUUGUUUAUGGCAUAAAAAAUUGCAUUGUUUUCAAAACGAGUGCAUUAUGUUUUCAAAAACUUUUCGUAUUGGUUGCUUGUUCGCUUUCUAUGUUCACUCACUGAGUUUAUACUCAUUCUUUUCAAAUUCAUGUUUUAGUUUCAGGAUCAAAGGUAGUUGGAUCCUAGGUCGAGGUGCUCAUUCUUAUUCAUCUUUCAGUAGGUUCACCAUGCCACUAAAUGUUAGCACCCACGCCUAGAGUCACUCCGCUGAUGGUCAGGGUCAUUGUAUGUGUAUAUGUAUACUUAAUGUGAAUUGCUAAGAUUCAUUUGUUAGACAAUCUACGUAUAUUAUGAUCGAUGAUGCCAUUAUGAGUAAAUACGUGGGUUUUAUGAAUUGCUUUCAAAGAAAUUAUAUUUGAAUAUUAUGAGUUAUAGAUUUUAAAGAAAUAUGGAUGAUAGAUGGGCUAAUGUACAAGUUCAUAUAGAAAGGCUUGCUUGAGCCUAGUGGGCUGUGCCUAUUGGGCCCUUGCGCCUAUCAUGGCACAAAAUUUGGGCUGUGACAAACUUGGUAUUAGAGCUCUAGGUUUAGUUGAGUCCUAGGGAUUCCUGUGUCUGUUAGCGGAGUUGUUGGAGUCCGUGUAGAGUCUUAUCCUUGGAUUAUGGGUGUGCAACGCAAGUCAAGGACGGGAGGCUGCAUGGGCCCGUACUUCACUAGAAACCUACCUGUUCUUAUGAUGUAUAAAUAGAUAAGUAAUUAAUGCUUGGUUGUGUAUAGGUUUAAAGGUGUGCCUGUUGCACAUGCCAUGUCUAGAAGAGACGGUAAUCCCCGACGCCCUUCACAGUAUUAGCAAGGGAUCGCUAGAUUCCACUGCUUGGAGUCGAUAUGUGCCCGAGGGUGGAAACGUAACAAGUAAUCAGACCUGAUUUUUGAGUGGAUCAGAUCCCUCGAGAGGUAGAAUACUAUUUAAGAGCUAGAGGAGCCUCGCAAGAAUGGUGCAUAAUGAAAUCGAUCCGAGUAAAAAGAACACGAACAAGAUGGAAAAAAGGGACUGUCAGUAAUUAUCAUCCUAGGAAAGUAUCUGUAUCUGUUGUCGGAGGCUUUCCUCCAGGUUAUGGCAGAGGUGCUGCGCCUAUGAGUAGCGAGGAAUCCAUGAGAAUAUAGCAAGCUUGGAUUAAGGAUAAAAUGAGAAAAUCUCAGUUGAAAGAGGAAGACCCGGAAGAGGAUCCAUCGAUGUGCUUGGUUUAAGGCGAAGAGGAUCCUAAAGACACUUAAUAUUUUUGUUGAAGUUCAUAUCACUUUAAGCCUAGGCAGAUGCGGUGUAAAGGAAAUAGUAGUAGUUAUUUGUACAAAGAAGUCAAAAGUUGGCUUUUAUUUUGUAUGACUCAAUCGGAUUAUAAAGUAGCUGUUUAAAUGACUGGAUGUGUAUGGGAAUCUUUUGGUAUGAUAGAGGUAGACUAGUAAUAUAAUUAAAUGACUAUUUAAAUACCUUAGUGGCAUGGUUGGUCACCUUAGAUAAUUAUUAAGGAUCGACGUAAAAAGUAAUUAAUGGUACAAACAACUACGAGACCUAACAAAUGAUUAGCAAUUAAUCAUGGAAAGGUGGAAAUUGAAAUCCUAGUUGUAGUUACAAUUCAGAAGGAUAUAGGAGAAAUUAAUGAGGUUAUAGGUGACACUUAAAAUGAAUGAUGUGAUUAAGUCAAGGAUUGUAAUUUAAGCAUGAAGGGGAUUACAAAAUGAUGCCAUGACAUUAUGAAGUAAUAAUUGGGCACAAAUGUAGCCCAAAUGAGUUAAAUUAUGGAACUUGGGAAAGAUGAAUUCUUGAUUUAAUAAGGAUUAUGAGAAUAAAGUGAGGAGGAAGAUGGACUAUUUCCAUGGUCAUUUGUACCGGAAGUCAAUAAACUAUUGAAGUUACAAGACAAGAAAGACAAUUAGUUAUGGAUAAUAACAAAUUUAUAGAACACCAUAAAUAGUGAGUAAUUAUGUGUGGGGUGAUAUAUGUAUUGUGAAUUCAUUACAUCAUAUGGAAAAGAUGCCUUAAGGUGGGAUUUCAUGAUUGAUGAUAAAAGUCAAAAGAUGAUAUGAGUUGAAAGUAUUAAUUUGGCCUAGUGCAUAUGAUAAGCAAAUAGAAGAUACACAUACUUAUGGAAAUUGUGGUUUAGGCUUAAAGGAAAGCCAUGUGGUUGAGAAUGAUUAGUGUAGUAGCCUUAAAAGGAAAAGAAUUGCUUUGAUAAAGUAAAUUCCAGCAGCCGCAAUGCCACAGCUCCGACUACCCAAUGUUGCUACUCUAAAAACCCCUAAUGGCUAGAAAGCAUGAGCAAAUUGUGAGUGGCAUGAAGAUGAAACUCAUAAGUUGAAUUAUGGUCAUUGGCCUUGAUGCUAACUUUUGUUAUUUAGAGUUUUAAGUGUGUUGAAAAAAUAUUAAGAUAAAGAUGAUGAGUGAAUUGAAAAGUUUCUUUAGUGCCCUAUAUAUUGGCAGGUGAUAGAAAGAGGAGUUAGGGAGUUCUUGAGAUGAAUUACUGUGUGAAGUAUUAAGGUAAACAUUACACAAACUAAAGUCAAACCCUAAGAAAUAAAAAGGAUAAGAGAUUAAGCCUUGUUAAAGGCUAAGGAAAAAGUGAAUGAAAAGUUAGAUGAAUGUAUGAGAUAUUGAUAAGGGAUGUCAAUACCAAGUGAAGAAAGUGUGAAUGAAGGAUUACAAGAGUGGUAUAACAAAUGAGUUUAUAUAGAAUAUUGCUAUUAGAAUUUGCAAUUCUUGUCUUGACUCAAUUGAAUGAAAAGGAUUAGUAACAACACAAGGUCGAUUACGUGGCAUGCUAGAAACCCUUGGGGAUAAAUUGAAGUAUGAAUAGUUUAGCAUGCAUUUAAAUACCUUGGUGUAUAAGUCCAUGCCUUUUUUGGAAUGAUAUGUUUGAAAUGUUAAAGAGCAAAUAAGUGAUUAAGUGUUUUAAGGAUGAAUGAACAUCCUUGAGAAGGAAUUACCAAUCACAAGCAACCAGUAUAAUAUGUGUGAUUUUGAAACUUGCUAAGGAGCCUAGUGGCUAAACCACGGGUUAUGUGAUCAUAUGCGGUGAGACAUAAGUUAACGGUAGGCAUCUAUAAGGAAAUACUCAAGAGUAAUCCUGCUAUGAAUCUUGUGGAAACAAGCAUUAAGUUAUGUGGUUACAAAUGGGAAGCGGUAAGCUGAAAGUGAUACUCAUAUUGAUAUUAAGAAGUACUUGACAAGAACCUUGUUUCCAAUCUUGCAAUUUCAAGUACAAAUUGUGAAUUGAUUAAUGGAGAAUGAUGUUAUAUCAGUAUAAGAGAAUAGUACAAAGGAUGGUUGAAGGUAACUAUCACAGCCCAAUUUUCAGACCCUGACUAGUGCAAUGACCCAAUAGGCAUAGCCCACUAGGCCCUAGCAAGCCUUCUUGUAUGAACCCGUACAUUAGUCCAUUUAUCAUCCAUACUCCCUUUUUAAGAUCUAUAAAUCAUAAUGUUCAAAUAAUAACUUCAUUAAAAUCAAUUCAUAAAAUCCAAGCAUAUACUCAUAAUGGUAUUCAUUAAUUGGAAUAUACAAAAAUAGUUUGCUAAACGAUUCUUAGCAAGUUACAUCUAGUUUACAUGUACACAUUCAAAGACUCUAACCGUCAACGGAGUGACUCUGGGCGUGGGUGCUAACACUUAGUAUCAUGACAAACCUACCAAGCAAUGGAUAGGGAGGAACACCUCGUCCUAGGAUCCAGUCACCUUUAAGUCAAAGAACCUAAAAUAUGAAGUUUAAAAAUGUGAGUAUAAACUCAGUGAGUGAACAUAGGAAGGGAACAAGCAACGUUAAGGAAAGUUUAGAAAUCAUGAUGCACUGAAGUUCAAAACAAUGGAAUUUGGUUUAUUUCUAUUUAAAAACCCCUCAUUCAAACCCUUGGUCAUUUAGUCACUUGAUGACGAAAGAUUCAUGAACAACAAAGAAGUUGAGAAGUGAAAAUUUUAAUAGAGUUCAAGCAAGUCAAGGAUAAUAGAUUGACUCUCACCGCAGUGAAAAGGCAGUCUCACUGCAACAAAAUUCUGGCCAGAUAAAAUCCAAGGGGCUUUCACUACGAUCGAAAAAAAUCCACUCAUGCUACAUUGCACAUUAAAUUGAACACAUUGACAAUACUUAAGUUUUCAACAAACAAUGCAAUCACAUAUUAAAUACAAACAGCUCUAUAUAGUAAAUAUAUAUAUAUAUAUAAGCACAUACACCACCAUCUCAUGCAGCUCAUGUGCAUCCCCCCACAUCGUGCACAUAGCCAGACAUCCCAUCUCACCCAGCUCAUGUGCAUCCCCCCACAUCGUGCACAUAGCUGGACACCCCAUCUCACCCAACUCAUGUUCAUCCCCCCACAUCGUGUACAUAGCCAAAGUCAUAGUGUGCAUCCCCAAAAAUCAUGCACAAGCAAUAUCAUCGCUUUAUGCAUCCCCCCAUAUCAUGCAUAAGUGAUAUCAUCAUCAUGUGUAUCCCCCCACAUCGUGCACAGCUAAUGUCGUCGUGUGCAUCCCCCCACAUCAUGCACACAAGCAAUAUCACCAUCCAUCUCCCUGACCACCAUCAUCACCGGCAAGUGCACACUCACCCCGCACAUGCGCGGUUGCACUUUGUCACACAAUGUACCGUUUAUGACAUAGUAUAUAUAUAUACAUAUCAAUAUUAUACAAAAACACAUGGAUUCAUCACACUAUCCAUUUCAUAACAUAAAAACAUUUCAUAAGGGCUUGUUCCAAUGUGAGUUUUUGAAGAAAAACCAAUAAAAUGUUUUAGGGGAUUCAAUCAAACAUAAAUGUGUAUAUCCCAAAACAUUUUAAUGCAAGUUGUAUUUGUUGAACCUUUAAUCAACUCUAACCUCCCUAAUGAUCCAAAUGGGGCUGAGGGGCCUUGUUAGAACCUAUCACGCACAAAAACAUCACAGCCAAUCCAAUUUACAUUAAUAUCACUCCAAAAGCUUGUUCCCAAAUCAAGCUUCAAUAGCCCUUCCUAUCUAUCUUCCAAUUACCAUUUAAUUGGCUAUUUCGUUUCUCUACUUUAGUAACACUAGAAAUAGAUAAACAAUUUUAGCAAAUAAAACAACUCAUAACUCUAAUUAUUAGCCGUCAUCAACAACUUAAAACUAGUCCUAAUUCAUCACUCACCUUGGUGAUUGUAAUGAAAUUUCUUCCCAAGAGUCCUCAAGCUAACAUGAAACCUCUCUUUCUCUGUCUACAAAGUUCAGCUGGUGAGAGAAAAUAUUGAAGAAAGACUUUUAAGGAUUUGUUUAAGGUGAAGGAGUAAAAGAGUAUGAAAAACCCUACAAUAGGGUGUGUAAAGCAUGAAAAUUAAGGUUAGUUUAAGAGAAUGAUGGAAGCUUGAGAGAAGCUUUCAUGGAAGAGGAGAGAAACGUGAGAUGAGUGGAGGAAGAAGAAGAAGUUGCUGGAGAAAUAUAGAAGCUGCUGAAAAAUAUGAGAUCUUUAUAGUUAAAGCUUAUCUAAUUUCUCAUGCAAUUACAAUAAUGCCUUUAACAAGGCCACUUGUCUUCCUUCUUUUCUUGUGUAAUCUUUUUACUCUUUUGACAUUGGGAAAAAGUCUAAAAUCCUCUAAAAGAGGUCCCUUAAAUAGCCCUCAAAAGCCCUAGCUUCAAAAAUCCCAUAAACUUGUUACUUGUGGAAAUUACGCUGAGGGUCGCGGCUCUCAAUUUCUAGCGCCGCGACGCUCAAAUGUUUUGCCAAAUUCUGUUCCUCUGGCGCAGGACUUUCACUUCAACAAAGAUUUUGACCACCUUCAUGCUAGAACUGGGCAAAGUGUAAACUUGUAGCCUUGCAUUUAUAUUUCUAAUGGUUUAAAAAUCAUGUCACUUGGACUUGUGUAAUGGGAGAUAUACUUGAAAAAUCGAAAUAUAUGCAAAUAGAGAAACAGUUCAUUGUGCACCUUUUUUUGCCAAUUGAAAUUAUUUUUGAUCCUACUCCUAUAAAAACAUAAAAUAAAUAUAAAUAUCAUAAAACUAGCAUUGUUAGCCCCCAUAUCAAGGUAUGAGGUACUACAGUAACCUUGACAAUGAAGUUGGAUAAUGAAAACCUCUUAAUGUAUUAUGAAAAUUGGAAUUCGGAAACAUAUGAGGCAUGCAUGAUUCGAAUAAGUCCAAGUCUUAAGUGACUAAUUAAUGUCGAAAUGCAAUAAGGAUAUAAUAGAUAUGUCAGAGGCAUCAAAGAUAAUUGAGAAACAAGAAUGACUUAGAUGGAUUGUGAUAUUGCAUAAGAUGUAGUGAUCAAGUAAAGAUGAAUCUUUGAAGGAUUAAUGAAAUUAUAAAAUAUAUACAAAUACUAGAUUGCAAUUUAAUGAAAAUGAGAUUUGGCUAGUGAGAUGUGACUAAUGGCAUUGUGAUGCAAGGAUAUAUAGUACAAUGAAACUUAAGCAUAUAAUUGGAAAUGAUAAGAAAUGAGCAUAAGCAUGAAAAGGACGUGAAGUUAUGCAUAGGCAUAAUGAGAAUUCUUAUGGAUUAUGUAAGACAUAACUUAUGGUAAGAUGCGAGUGGAAUGGUGAUUUAAACAUAUAAAAAGGGUAAUUUGAAAUUGAUUAUACCCAAAUACUCAUGGAUUAAAUAUGAGAACGUUGACAUGAGCUAUGAAGAUUAUCAUAUUGAAUCUUGGUUAUGGAUGGGAACGAACAAAGAGAAAUUAGUCUGAAGGCACUUGAAAACAAAGAUCCCCACACAUAAUAAGGAAUGAUGACACUUAAAUGUGCGGAUACAUACAUAUGUGUGGAGUUAGUGAUGUGCCCAACUGAAGUGAAGAAUUGUUCUUAGUGAUUCGAGCUUUGAACUAAAUAUUUGAUGAGUUGUAUAGCUACAACAAUAAGAAAUCCCAUUAGAAGUUGAGCUAUGUUGAUAUAAGAAAUUUUGGAGAAAUAGUCAAAGAAAUGAUACCAAGAAUAUGUAAUCUAUAACGUGGUUAAGCCAUACAAGAUGGACUAAUAUGAUUAAGAAGAUUGAAGUUGUAGAAAUGCAAGGUAAACAUGAGUAUGUUAGAAUAAUUGAAGCCAUUAACUCCCCCAACAUUGGGAAUACGUACAGAAAUGAAUAUGGCAUGUUAAUGAUGCCGUAAGCUAUAUAAUAGUGCAUGAGGAUAGGAUGAAUGAAUGAAUGUCGAGAAAUUUGACAAGGAAUGAAGUAAUAAGAUGGUGGUUGGUAUACAUAAGUAAGUAUAAAAUGUGAUUGAAAUUGGUAUGAUUAAGACGGAGUUAUGGUUCAAAUUUAAUGAUGGGGAUAACGGCAUACUCAACGUCUUAAAAUAGGAGAUAAUGAUCGUGAAGGGUAAUGCCGAUUUGAUUCUAAAGUAUGAUAACAGACAUAAGUGAAGCAUUCUAGUCAAAUUGGAGGCAAACGAGGUGAAUGAAUGACUAGAGGUUUUUCAAGAAUCGAAAUAAAGAUAUGUUUGAGGUUAGUGAUGGAAUUAAAGGCAUAGUUGGGAUCUUAAUGAUAAGAAAGAACAAUUGAAAAGGGUACCGUGGCUUUGACUCAAAGAUGAUAAUAGAUAUAAGUUACGUACCCUGACCUUGUAAAGUGUUCUAGUCAAAUUAAAGAUAAUGAGGUGCGUAAAUCAAAUUCCCUACGAAGAAGGAAAUGGAAUAUGAUCAUUGAGUGAGAUUAACAACCCGAUGUUGAAGAGAAUUCGAGGACGAAUUCUAUUCAAGUGGGGGAGAUUAUAAUAUCUCGUACUUUGAUAUGGUGGCUAAUAAAGCUUAUCGGAUGCUAAUUGAGGUUAAUUGGAAUGUUUAAAAGUGAUGAAAGGUGAAAAUAGUAGUUUAAGAUAAAAUAUUUUACACGCGAGGAAAUAAUAAUAAAAUAAUAAUAUUUUUAUCGAAGAAGAAUUUACAAGAUAAAAAGUGAUUCGGAAGUGAAUUGAAGCAUAAUAAGGUAUUUUAGGUGCCAAGGAGACAAGUGAAAAAUUUUACCAUAAAAUAAUACUUUAUUAAUAAAUAAUAUUAAAAUAUUAAUAUUUUAUUCAAUGUCAAAAUUUUUCAUAAAAAGGGAGUAUAUGGUCAAUCUAAGUGGGGGAGAGGACAAACGAGGAAAUUUCAGAGAAAAAUGACUUUAAUGGGGCCCGUGUGCCUUUAUUAAAUAAAAAUAGCACAGAUAGAUAAAUAUUUUAAAUAUUAUGGGGACACCAUCUUGGAGUACAAACUUUAUAUUUUGUUUGUACAUGUGUAAAAGAAGAUAUGGAAAGAAAUUGCAAUUAAAAGAUUUUGGGAGGAUACAAUUAAAAAGGGUGAAAACCUUAAAUGGCAAAAUGGUAAUUUUGCCAUUAAAGUGGUCAAGGCUUCAAAAGAAAGCUUUGACUCUUCAUCCUUAUCCUUGACUGAUCCUUAUCUUUUUAAGAUGGCAUUUUUGCUUCUCCAUCUCCUUCCUUCCAUGCCAUUUCCAUACUUCCACCCCAUUUUCACUUUACUCCCAUGCAAUUGAAGAGAAAAAUAGAGAGAAUCAGCUAAGGAAAGGAAGGAGAGAAAGGUGGGAGGCUUGGAUAGUAAGUGUUGGUCCCAAUAAUAUGUGCUAGAGGGGAGGUGAAUAGCAUAAUUUGGCUCUUUCAAAGAUUGUCUCUAAGUGUAGACAAAGCGAGACAAAUGAAGGAAAGAAAAUAAAAUAAAAACAGAGUAAACAAGACAGCAGAUUUUAGAGUGGUUCGGUCCAAGACCUACAUCCACUACCUUGAUUAUCCAACCAAGGAUUUUCCAAACAAUCCACUAGGAACUGGUGAAAUUCACAAGCUUUCACCAAGCUUUACAAUGGCUUUUACAAGGCUCAGUCAAAAUCGUUGUAGUACCCCGUAUUUUAAUACGGUGGCUAAUAGAUUUUAUGGAUGUCAAUUAAGGUUGAUUACUGAGUUAAAAGGGUAAUUCAGAAGUGAACCUGUGAAAUCUCGAUCUCCUUAGGCACAUAACUAGAAGUAGACGCGAUAAUGCUACCCAGGGGUAAUUUCAUAAUUUCUCUUGGUAGUCUCCUACGAGUGGGUUUUUUUUAUGCUAUUAAGGUCUAAAUAGGCCUAAGGAAUGAAUAAAUGAUGGUGAAUAAAUGAGAAGAUUAAAAAUAGUGAUAAUUUCCACGAUAAGGGUAAAAUGGUCAUUUUGCAUCUCGUGUCUAAAUUUUUUUGUUUCGUGAACCCGAGUACCUUUAGACUAUUAUGGACUUUGUUUUGGUGUCAAAAGAGCAAAAAGGUUGCACAAAGGAUGAGAGGAAGACAAAGCCACCAUGUUAAGGGCAUUUUGGUAAUUUCGGUGGAAAUUUGGAUUAACUUGAAGCAUAAAUAUCUAAGCUCCAAUAGCUUCUAGCAACUUCUCCUUCUUCAUCUUCCUCCCUUUUCACGUUCCUUUUAUCCUCCAUGGAAGCUUGUUUUGUAACUUCCAUAACUUUCUCUCUCUAGCUCUAAAUUUUAUUGCUUUUGUCCCACUCUUUCUAUACUGNUUUCAUGCUCUUCCACUUUUACACCUUAAAACCCUCAAAAAGUCUUUGUUCAGCACUUUCUCUCACUAGUUUAAAGUUUUAGAGAGAGAAAGAGAGACUUGCCAUAGUAGCUUGGAAGCUUUUGAAAAGAAAUUCAACUACAAAAAAAAAACCACCAAGGUGAUAAAUGAGUUAGAAUUUGAUUUUAAGGUGUUAGAGAUGGCUAGAAAUUUGAUUUAUGGGCUGUUAUAAUUUUUAUAGUUAUAUUAUGGGUGAUAGGUUCCAAUAAGGCCUCACAUGUCUGUUUGAAGUAAUAAUCGAAGUUAGAGUCGAUUAGAGGUUCAACAAUCCCGGUGAAUGAACUUGCAUUUCAAAAUUGUUUUGGAAAUGUGAACGUAUUUGCACAAAACCUUUUAAUGAUUUUAUCCCAUUUUUCUUAAAAAUAUGCCUUGGGAACAAGCCCUUGAUAAAUUGUCUCUAUGUGUGACAUGUGGCUGUUAUGGAUUCUUGUACUACAUUAUGUUGAUAUAUAUAUGUAUGUUGUGUAUUGAUGGUUGAUAUUGUGUGAUAAUGAUAACCGUGUGUGUGCACGAUAUGGGGGGAUGCACAUGUCGGUGAUGACGGUGAUGAGGGAGAUAAAUGAUGAUAGUGCCCGUGUGCAUGAUGUGGGGGGAUGUACACGAUGGCACUGAGUGUGCACGAUGUGGGGGGAUGCACAUGAGCUGGGUGAGAUGAUGGUGGUAUUGGUGCUUAAUUAUGUAUAUAUGUAUAUAUAUAUGUUUGUGAAAUAAAAGUUCAUGAAUAUAGUAUAUGGUUGUAAUGCAUGUGAAAAUUUGGCAUGUUGAACUUUGGAAAAUUUUGAGUAUUUUAUGUUGAAAUUGAAAUGAUGAAUCCUGAGAAUGUCACAUUUUCUUGGAAAUUGAGUUUAUUCUAGCACCAAAUGGAUUUUUAGUGCAAAGGAGGUCCUUUUUACAUUUAGGUGCCCUAUUUCUCACUACAGCGAGAAACAUUAUGUUUUGGCAACUAGAAACUCGCUGCGAUGAGAAUAAAUUUCACCGCAGUGAGAAACUCUCAGGUUCUAAUGUAGUGACUUAACUUUGAUGAAGAUUUUGACCACUUUCCUGUCCAAAUUGGGAAAAGUAGUAAACAUCAAAGUUGUAUCCCUACCUCUUAGAUUUCUAACGGCUUAAAAUUCAGGUCAAUUUAACUUCUGUAGAGGGAGAUAUGCUAGAAAAACUGAAACAUAUGUAAACUGACAUCGUUUCUCGCUACAGUGAGAAACUUUCUGUUUUGGUCGCCCGAAUCUCGUUGCAGUGAGAAUGAAUUUCACUGUAGGGAGAAACUUGCUACCAUGCUUGCUACCUUGCUUGAUUUUGACUUACUUUUCACCCAUUUAACUUGAUGGAUUGAUCAUGGGUUUGUGAAACACUAUGAGGGUUUUAAUCAAGGUUUGAAAUGAGGGGUUUUUAGUAAGAAAUUAAAUCAAGUGCAUUAUUUUUGAACAAUUGCAUCAUGAUUUCCAAAUUCUUCCCAUCGAUUGCUUGUUCCCUACUUAUGUUCACUCACUGAGUUUCGUACUCACGCUUUUAAAAUUCAUGUUUUCAGAUUUGGAGGCAGUUGGAACCUAGAUUGAGUCGCACACAUAUGCUCGUCUUCUUGGUAGGUACUAUGGCAUCUCAUGUCACAACCCAAUUCUUGGGCCAUGACUGGCGCAAGGACCCAAUAGGCAUAGCCCAUUAGGCCCAAGCAAGCUUCUCCAUAGGCACUUGUAUAUUAACCCAUCUAUCUAGCAUAUUUCUUUGAGAUCUGUACUUAAUAGUGUUCAAAUGCCGAUUUCUCCAACGCAACUCAUAAAACCCAAGUGAAUGCUCACAUUAGCAUCAUAGUUCAAAUCAUACAUAAAUAGUUGUCAAUAUAUCUUUGCAAAUUCACAUGAAACAUAUACAAAGACUUUGACAGUCAGUGGAGUGACUCUAGAUGGGGAGAUAUGACUACUGAGUGUCAAGAUACCUACCCAAGGGAUGUGGGUACGUGGACACCUCAAUCUACAUAUCAACGACCACUGAAUCUGAAAACAUGAAGUUGAAAAUGUGAAUAUAAACUUAGUGAGUGAACAUCGGAAGGGAACAAGCAAUAAUAAGGAAAAGUUUGAAAUCAUAAUGCACUUGUUUGAAAAUGAUGCACUUUAGCUUAAGUCUUUAUUAAAACCCUCAAUUGAACCUUUGGUCACUAAAUCAUGUGACGAUAGAGAAUUCAUAUUCAACAUGAAAUUGGAGAAGUGGAAAAUAUGGCAAAAACCAGCCAAAUGCUAAGCAAAACAGAAAGUUUCAUUCUCGUUGCAGCAAAAGGCAUUCUCGGUUUGCAUAUGGUUCAGUUUUUCAAGCAUAUCUUCCACUACAUGGGUCUAAUUGACAUGCUUGUUAGGUCUUCAGAAAGCUAAGAGGAAGGGCUACGACUUUAGUGUUUACCACUUUGCCCAAUUAUGAUCGAAAGGUGGUCAAAAUCGCUAUCAAAGUGACAGUACGGCACCACCAUUGAGAGUUUCUGGCGGCAGGGAGAAUCCAUUUCACUACAGCCAAAUUCCUUGUUGGAAUGAACACCAAUUUGAAAAUACUUAGCAACUUUCAAAGUUCAACAUGCAAGAUUCACAUAUGCAAAACCAUAUACCAUACUCAUGAACUUUGAUUUCAUAAACAUAUAUGAAUAUAUAUAAAUGCAUAGAUAACACCAAUAUCAGCAUAAUCACACCCGGCUCAUGUACAUCCCCCCACAUCGUGCACAUUGCUGAUGCCAUCAUGUGCAUCCCCCCACAUCCUGUACAAUCAAUGCCAUCAUGUACAUCCCCCCACAUAGUGCACACGGGCACUAGCAUCAUCCAUUUCUCACACCACCAUCAUCACUAGCAUGUGCAUCCCCCUACAUCGUGCACACACACGGUUAUAGUCAUCAUACACAAUAUCAACUAUCAUGCAUAACAUAUACAUAUAUAUAUAUAUAUCAUCAUAAUGAAAUGGUGCAUGAAUCAAAAACAACCACAUAUUACAACAUAAAACCAUUUAGCAAAAGCUUGUUCCCAAGGCAUUUGUUUUAAGAUAAAGUUGUAUAAAAUCAAUCAAAUGCUUUGUACAAAACAGUCACAUUCCCAAAAUGAUUUUGAAAUGCAGUUUACUCACCUUACUAUAGCGGGAUAUCACAUCGCUAUUUGAUCGAAUGUGUCUUUAACUAUUUUCACUAGCCAGUUGCUCGUUAUUUACCCCAGCAUGCCACCAUAGUACUCUAACCUUAUCUUUGCACUUCCUAACAAUAAUACGAACUCAAUAUAUUUAAUUACAUAUGUAUACGGGUAGCACUUCAAUCAAUUAAUCCUUACUCAAAUUUAUGUUUUUCAUUCUAUCAUGAAGCCAUCUUCAAUUAACUCACAUCUUAAUACAUUUUUACCAAAAUUACUUAUAUCAUUGCUUACGAAAUUCCUUAGAUUAUAUCACCGGCAACUUAAUUAUGAUGUCACGUGUCUACUUCAACUUUUCUAAAUAAUUUCCACCCAAAUCCAUCUUAUAUUUUCCACACAUAAUCCACAUAUAUGGCAAAAACAAUCAUUCUCACUUUCACUCGAUUAUUUCCUAGUUACACGCAUCGUUAUCUAUCUAACUUUCAAUACUUUGUUUCUCAAUCCUCCAUUCACAAUAUUCCUUUUUCAUUUCUUUCAAACAGCAUGCAUACAAACUUAAUAAUUUUCAACUAGCUUAAGCAAAUAAAUCCUUUCAACAACCAUAAUUCCUCACAAUAUCCAACUAACCGUAGGCUUUAAAACAUAGUGUUAUGCUUACCAUUUUCCUUUUCCACUUUGAGUCCUUCAGGUACCCAUGGGUUUAUUGGCUUACAUGUUACCAAUUUUUUCUCCAAUCAAGCCAAUAUUUUCUGCCACAAGACAUUUCUCAUAGUCACUAACUCAUUUUCAAAAACUACUCAAGCCAAAAACAAAAUUCUUACCGUUCCUUACUUAAAUCACCAAAACCAAGCUUUUUUCUUCCUUUCUCUCUUUUUCUUUCUUCUCCUCCUAGGGUUUAGGUGUUUUGAAAUUAGGGUUAGAAGUUGUAACUUUGGUGCACAAGCAGUUGGGAGAGGAAAGAAGUAAGAAGAGAAAGGCAAUGGAAAGAAAAUAAAGAAAGAAAAUAAAAGAAAAUUAAGUUUCCAUGGGAAAAUGAGAGAAUGGAGUUGGAAGCUUCAAGAAUGAAGAAGAAACAUCUUGCUGGAGGAGAUGAGGACUGUUUUGGGCUGAUAAGGAUGAGAGUCAAAGCAUUCUUUGGAAGCUUUGACCAAGCUUUGNUCAUUUUAAUUUAGUCCUCCCAACACUCAUUUAACUCCAACUUCCUUCUAUUAUCUUCUUCUACACAUGUACAAACAAAGUAUGAAGUUUGUACUCCAACGCGGUGUCCCCAUAAUAUUUAAAAUAUUUAUUUGCCCACGCUAUCUUUACUUAAUAAAGACACGCGGCCCCAUUAACGUCAUUUUUCUCUAAAAUUCUCUCAUUCUUCUUUUCCCCCACUUAGAUUGACCAUAUACUCCUUCAUGGAAAAUUUUGACACUGAAUAAAAUAUUAAUAUUUUAAUAUUAUUUUAUUUCAAAAAUUUCCUCUUGUCUCCUCUCGUCUCCUUGGUACCCAAAAUACCUUAUUAGGCCUCAAUUGACUUUCGAAUCACUUUUUAUCUCACAAAUUAUUCUCCAAUAAAAAUAUCAUUAUUUUCUUAUUAAUUCCUCGUGUGUAGAAUAUUUUAUCCCAAAUUAUUCCUUUCAUCUUUCAUCAUUGCUAAACAUCAUAAUUAACCUCAAUUGGCAUCUAGUAAUUUUUUAUUAGUUACCAUAUCAAAGUACAGGGUAUUAUAUCUCAAUAGCUGUAUCUUGACCCAAGGUCACUCCGUUGACGGUCUCGAGUCUAUUACUUGUGAACAUGUAUAUGUAAUGUAAACUACUAAAGGUCAUGUUAUAAAUGAAGUAUGUAUAUGUUGGAUUGAUGAUGACAGUACUUUGACAUAAUAUAAAUAUGAAUAUUCAGUUGUUAUAAAAUAUUAUUGGAACAUUUACUUUUGAGAGUUACAACACUUCAUUUUAAAGAUGAUGGAUGGGAAUGAUAAUCGAAAUUGCAUAAAGAGCCUUGCUUGGGCUUAGUGGGCUAUGCCCAAGUGGUCCAUGUGCUGGUCAUGGCUCGAGAAUUUAGGUUGUGACAACCUUUUACACUAGUUUUUCCUGGGCUUAACUAUAGCCCAAAGUGGUUUUUUUAAGGCUCAACCAGAACCUAUAACAAUCAAGCUAUCCCAAGCUUCAAUAACUCCUUAGAGUGACUUCCUCACUCUAAGAAUACAAGAAAAGAAGUAAAAGAAAGUACCUAUGAUCACAAGUUGAUCUAAAUGGCACAAGGUUGAGUGCAGAAUACAAGUACAAAGAAUGGGCGUUAAGGUACAACAGGGUAUAAGAGAGAUUUUUUAGUUUUUCAGCUCUUAUGUGGUUCAAAUCUCUCUAAUACUUCCAAGAACUAUUUUCUAACUGUUGGAAGACCCUUUUAUACUUGGAGAAACAUCUAUGAUGACAGUUUUGUAGUUUUCUAGCCAUUGGAGACAGUUGAGAGUAGGUUCUAGCCGUUACUCUAUCUUUUAGUGUAGUUUUCAAACUUACAGACAGAAUGCUUUUAGUUGACUAAUCAAUAUGUUGACUAAGAGUUCUCUAUUUUCUACUCCCUAUCUCUGGCAGUUAUGGCAAUAAGCACUUAGUCGACUAGUUUAUUUCUUAGUCGACUAAGUUGGUUCUAUUUCUUAAUAAUCUUCAACCCGCCAUUUCUCCAAUUUGAAUCUUGGCCAACCAACAUUCUUCCUUAUUGAAGUAAUGAGCUUCCUCCUUGUUAGGCAGUCAUGUCUUAUCAUUUUUAUCUCUCUUUUUCUUUUGAUAUACACUUUUGAAAGAUUGAUUUAUUAAUUUCAUACAUUAAUUUUCCUGCACACUUAAGUAAAGGCAUUAGACACAAAUGUAUGGGAAUAUUUUAUUAUAAUAAAAAACUAAUGGAGCCAACAAUCUCCCUCUUUUUGAUGAUGACAAAAUAUUCCUUGAUUAACCGCAUAGUGUCUUUUUGCUCAUUUUAGUUUCUAUAGAAAAUGAGGAUUGCUCCCUUUAAGCAUAUGCUCUCUUUUACUGUGUGCAUAUUUUGCUUACUUUAUUCCAACAGAUUUUAUUCUAGUUAUACAAAAAAUAUUAUUGUACAUUUAGAGUAUACAUAUGUGCAUAAUUUUAGGGUGAUUUAUAGCAAUGAAUGUUGAUAGUUUUUCAUAGAAAAUUCAACAAGGUCCGUCAACAGCAUAUUGUCAUCAGAUUUUGUCUAUUCCCUUCAUAAAUCUAUUAACACACUAUACACAACAUCCAUAAUUAUUUAUAAAUGCAAUUUGUUCAAUUAUCAUCAUACAACAGUAGUUAUCAGCAUGCAGUCAAAUAUGGUGUAACAGCAGAUUUUGUUAACAACAGUUAAAAUAUCAUGGAUAGCAAAAUAUCAGCAAUCAAACAUCAUAAACAUAUCAGCAUUCAUGUCUCACAUUACCAUAUAAACAACAAAAUUAAAAUUGAGUGUUCAAGUGCCACCAUGGCACAAAUAAUAGUUAAUCAAAAAAAUGUUUCGAAAUUGCCCCUAUACUAUUUUUGCUUCCAAUCCCCUAUUUUUCUAAGUUCCUGCUCCUGGUUCAUUUAUGCUUUCUUUCUUCACUGAGUUCCUUCCUGGUUCCUUCACCUCAACAUUUUUUUUUAAUUAUUUUUUGGUUCUUGAUUCCUUUUCCCUUGGUUCUGCCAUUCUAGUUCUCUUUUUUGUCAGCAUCAAAGUAAGGGCCUUCCAGUCUUCUGAUGUGUCGAAAGGUGUGGAUUCAAUGUCGUAGAAAGGGUUUAGAGGGAAAGGAGAGGGUUCUCUUAGAGGUGAUGAGUUUUUAGGAGAAGGUUCAGGUGAGGAUACAUAGACUGAAGUUUGAGGUGAAGUGACUAGAGUUGUCUUGGAUUUGUCUGCCAAUCUAGAAGACUUUCUUCUCUUGAGAAAUGCUAUUUUUGUGGCCAUGGUUUUCCUUUCUUUAGUGAGUGGUUUUGUCACUAGUUGUGGUGCUACAAUAACUUUUUGUUUUCUUUUUCUACAUUUGGCUUUCAAUUUUUGGAAUUGGUGCAAAUGCAUUCUGUUGAGCUUCUAUCUCUGCAACUGCUUUUUCAGCCUGUUUCUCAACUUGCUCUUCCUUGACUUUUUGCUGGAACAAUCCCUUGAUUGAAACUUUUUCAGAGUGUGGAGGAAAUGGUUGAGGCUGAGGUUUAGUGGGGGUAUUUUCUUGAUCAAAAGCAGUUUCCUCAAUGCCUUUAUCAGAUUCAUCCCUAUCCUGUAGCUCAGGUGAAAGUGAUUUUCUUGGCUAUUCCUCUUCUGACGCAUGACCUUCUGCUAGAACACCAAAACUUGCACCAUGAGAAGUUGAUCCUUCUGCUUGCAAAGCUGAACUUUCAGCAUGUUGCUGUGCUGGUGCAACACUUGGUGUUUCAGAGGAAUCAACAACAGUAGGUUUUGAUGGGAUUUGUUCUUUUUCCUUUACUUCCUUUUCCAAUUUAGCAAGUUUCUCUUCAAUCUUCAGUAAUCUAGUGCCCUGAUCAGUUAGCUUUCCAUCCAUCCUCAUUAAUAAAUUAAAGAUCAUUUCACUUGAGAAUUGUGAGGAUGCUCCCUCUGUCGGUGCUGGUAUUGCAGAAACCUUGGGUGUUUUAGUGAAUUUCUCACCAUCCAGCUUGUUUCCCAUUUUGAUCAAGCUACCAUAGUAAAUGUCUUGAUCUUUAGUCUUCACCAAGUUCAUUUCAUACCUCUUGGCCCAAACUCCCUUUUUCUAGACAAAGGACGUGAUGACAUUCCCAUAAGGCAGAUUGACUUUAUCAAGUUUGCAAGCUUCUCUCAUCUUUUCAAUCAUGAACCUGCCUUCAUUUAUAACAACCCUAUCGAAGGCAUGUUCCAUCAGCCAAAGAUCUUGAAGGCUGAUGUAACUUAAACUUCCACUUCUGCCCUGGAUGUUUGUUGCUACAAAGUAGUGCAAAAUCCUUAUCUGGGGAUUAAUUAUAAGACCAGACUUGCUCUUUGAAGAAUAUUUUUCUUUCCUCUUGGUGAUGAUUUCCCAUAAUGAUGAGGGAUCGUAUUUCUCUAGGAACUCAUACUUACUUUCUUCACAUUCAACUUUCAAUAAACUACCUAAAUCAUCAGUAGUGACAACAAAUUCUUUCCCAUUCAAAUACGCAUUCAGACCAUUUUCGACAUAGUCAUCAGAAUCCUCUAAUUCUUUUUCUCCUAAAGCAAUGUUGAAAUAAAAUUCCUUUACCAAACUUGCACUGUAAGAUCUAUUCUUAAAAGUGCUAUAUUCUUGCAGUUUCAGUUCAUUAAAAUAGUCAAAUAAACUUGUCUGAAUUUUUAAGUUCUCAUCAAAACUCUUCCAGUCGAUAUAUUUGCCAUAGUUUAUAGGUUCAUUCUCAAUUUUUCUGAACCUCAGUUCAUGCAUCCUAUUUUUGAACUUAGAAAAGGAAGAAAUAGUACCUUUCUUGAGUGUGGAUUCCUUGUCCUUCUUCUUUUAUGUUUUCUGCCUCUUUUCUUUCAGUUUCUUAGAUAUCUCUUUCACUGAAGCAGAUGCGAUUUUCUGUUUCUUUUUCAGUACUUUUAUUUCUGAUCCUUCUUCCACUAGUCUCUUUCCCUUCUUCCUUUCAGUGAUUUCUCUACUUUGAGAUGUUUUUGCCAUUUUGAUUCUGAAAAUUUUUGACUUGGGUUUGAAGGUUUUGGUUUUGGUAUGAGUCAGUUUUAGAGGCAAAAAAGUGGAGAGAAAAGGGUUUCAGUUUCAGAUUUUUUAGUUUUAGGGGAAAGAAAAUGGAGAAAAAGAAGUUGUCAACAAUUUUAAUUUCUCUUAGAUAACCGUUCACCUCCCCCUUAAAUAUUGCCCUAUUCUAUUUGCUUAAAAUUUCAAAACUCCCUCUAAAUUUUGGUUAUUCACUUUAGGCAGUAUUUCUUCUUUCCUUAUCACCCGGUACACACGUUCUUUAUAUUAUUUUAUUCUUUCCUUAUUUUAUUCACAAAGUCUUAUUAUUUAAUGCUACUAGAAUACUCUUAGUUGACUAAGAUUCAUCUUAGUCUACUAAAUGCAUUUUGUUUCAUGUUCAUGAACCAAAGGUUUUCUCACAAUUCCUGCUGACUAAUCAUACCUAGAUUUCUUCUAAUUUCACAAAAUUUAUCUUCAUUCAGUUGUUUAGUAAAAAUAUCAGCUAGUUGAUGCAAAGUAUUUACAAAUUCAAUUUUAAGAUCAUUUUUCACUACAUGGUCUCUAACAAAAUGAUUUCUAAUCUCAAUGUGUUUUGUUCUAGAGUGUUGCACAAGAUUCUUUGAAAUAUUAAUUGCACUUGUAUUGUCACAGUGUAUUGGUAUGUUAUGCAAUGAUAACCCAUAGUCCUCUAAUUAUUGUUUAAUCCAUAAUAUUUGGGCACAACAACUACCUAAUGAUACAUACUCUACUUUUGCUGUAGAUAAAGUCACUGAAUUUUGCUUUUUGCUAGACCAUAACACUAGCAUACUACCUAUAAGUUGGCAUGUUCCAUUAGUGCUUUUCCUAUCAAUUUUACUGCCAGCAAAAUCAGCAUCCGAAUAUCCAACUAGGCUAAAAGUUGAUUUUCUAGAAUACCAUAUGCCUAGAGUUUGAGUUUCUAAGAGGUAUCUAAAAAUUCUCUUAAUAGUUGUUAAGUGUGAUUCUUUAAGUUAUUAUUGAAAUCUAGCACACAAACACACACUAAACUGAAUAUCUAGUCUACUUGUUGUUAAGUAAGGUAGUGAACCAAUCAUACCUCUAUAUGGCUUUUGAUCUACAUUCUUUCCUUUUUCAUCAAGAUCAAGUCUUGUGGAUGGACUCAUGGUGUGGAGAUUGGUUUUAGAUUCAGUAAAUCGAACUUUUUAAGCAUAUAUUGAGUGUACCUUUCUUGGUUGAUGAAGAUUCCUUCCUCACUUUGCUUAAUUUGAAGACCAAGAAAGUACUUCAAUUCUCCCAUCAUGCUCAUCUCAAAUUCACCCUGCAUUUCUUUUGCAAAGUUCUUGUAUAAAGCCUCAUUAGUUGCACCAAAUACAAUAUCAUCCACAUAUAUUUGCACAACAAUUAAAUUAUUUAGAUAUCUUUUAAUGAACAAUGUAGUAUAAAUGUUGCCUCUCACAUACCAUUUUUCAACCAAAAAUUUUAAGAGCCUCUCAUACCAAGCUCUAAGAGCUUGUUCCAAUCCAUACAAUGCUUUGUGGAGUUUCAAAACAUGAUCUGGUUAUUCAAAAUCUUCAAAACCUUAUGGUUGUUCAACAUACACUUCCUCUUGAAUGAAUCCAUUUAAAAAUGCACUUUUUACAUCCAUUUGGUACAAUUUGAAAUUCAUGAAGCAUGUAAAGCCUAACAACAACCUUAUGGCUUCAAUUCUAGCAACCGGUGCAAAAGUUUCAUCAUAGUCUAUUCCUUCCUCUUGGUUGUAUCCUUGGGCUACUAACCUAGCUUUAUUUCUAACCACAUUUCCUUGCUCAUCUACUUUAUUUCUAAACACCCAUUUUGUGCCAACAAUAAGGUGAUUUGAAGGUCUAGGUACUAAUGACCAUACAUGAUUUCUUUUGAAUUGGUCAAGUACCUCUUGCAUGGCCAUUAUCCAACUUUCCUCAUUUUCAGCUUCUUUAAAGUUUUUAGGCUCAAUUUGAGAUAUGAAUGCUAAAAAUUCACAUUUCUCUUGUUGCUUUCCUAGUUCUAACUCCUUGAGAAAUAUCACCUAUUAUUUGAUCUUAUGGAUGGUCUUUAAUAAGUCUCUAACUUCUUGGAAUGUCAUUAUGCUGAUUUUCUAUUCUUUGCAAAUCUUCUAAAGGUGGAGUUUCAUUUUCUCUUCUAGAUGAGCUUUCUUCAUUAUUCUUAUUAUUUUCUAAGCUCAUUUCUUCCAUUUGUUUCUCUAAGAUUUUAACAUUAUCAUCAUCAUCAACAUGGAUUUCAUUUUGUAAAGCAUUUGACUCAUCAAAAACUACAUGGAUUGAUUCUUCAAUGGUUAAAGUCCUUUUGUCAAAAACCCUCUAAGCCUUUGAGUUUAAUGCAUAUCCUAAAAAUAUUGCUUCAUCACUUUUUGCAUCAAACUUCCCUAAGAGUUACUUUCCAUUGUUCAAUACAAAACAUUUGUAGCCAAAACUCAUAAGGUGAGAAAUAUUUGGUUUCCUACCCUUGUAAAGUUCAUAUGGUGUCUUAGAUAUCAUGGGUCUUAUUGAGACUUUAUUAAGUAUAUAAGUUGCUGUGUUCACUGCCUCAGCCCAAAAAUAUUUUGGUAGGUUAUUCUCACAUAGCAUAGUCCUAGCCAUUUCCUUUAAGGUUCAAUUUUUCCUCUCUACAACUCCAUUUUGCUGGGGUAUUCUAGGUGCAGAGAAAUUGUGAUCUAAUCCCUUUUCAUUGUAAAAUUUCUCAAAUUCAUCAUUUUCAAAUUCUCCUCCAUAAUCACUCCUUAUGCUAACUAUGGUUGGUCCAUUUUCAUUUUCUACUUUCCUACAAUGACUUAUGAAAGCUGAUAAAGCAUCAUUCUUAUGAGCAAGAAAAUAAACCCAAGUAUAUCUAGAAUAGUCAUCAACUAUUACAAAGCCAUCAGAUUUUCCUCUAAACUAGUUGUGCUUAUUGAACCAAAUAGAUCAAUAUGCAGCAAUUCAAGAGGUCUAGAUGUUGACACAAUCUUCUUAGUUUCGAAAGAUGUUCUAACUUGUUUUCCUAGUUGGCAAGCAUCACAUAUUUUAUCAUUUUCAAAUUUUAAAUCCAGCAGCCGAACAACUUAGUUUUUCCUAACCAAUUUUGACUUAGUGUGCAAGCUUACAUGUCUUAAUCUCCUAUGCCAUAGCCAACUAUCAUUUUUAGCAUUUACAACAAGACAUAUCUCACUAUUAAUUUCAAGAUCCUCAAGAAAGACAACAUACAUAUUUUUCAAUCUCUUUCCUAUAAAUGAGACUUUGUUUGUACCUAUGUCUAUUACUUCACACUUAGUUGAAUCAAAACGCACUUUAAACCCUUUGUCACAUAAUUGACUAAUACUUAAUAAAUUAUGUUUUAGACCCUUCACUAACAACACAUGACUAAUUUAAGUUUGGGAGUUCUUACCAACCAUACCUAUCCCAUGAAUUCUACCUUUUAAAUCAUCACUAAGGGAUACGGUACCUCCCUUUCUUUUGUCUAGCUGAGCAAGCAUCAUUUCAUCUCCAAUCAUGUGACGUGAACAGCCACUGUCCAUAUACUAAGGCUGUUUCUUUUUGAGUUGAGCUCUUGAACAUGCUUCCUUUAAGUGCAGCUCAACCGACAAAACAGCAUUUCAAUUUUUCUUUAUAGGUACCCAUACUUUGAUGGGUCCUUAAGUGUUAGUUGCAAUAUAGGAUCCUUUAGAAACCCAAAUUUUUUUGAUUUUCUGCACAUUUCUUUUCUUAAAACUAUCAUAUGAUAAAUGACCACAUUUACCACAAUUAUAGCAUCUAGGUAAUGCAGUAGCAAAAAUUUUAUUGUGGUAUGCAUAUCUUUUUUAAGAUUCAUUUUUCAAACAUUUGAGAGUUGUGUUUUCAUCAAGUAAUUUUUGCACAACAUUAGACUUAUUAUCCAGCUCUAAUUUUAAAACUUCAAAAUAUGUUUUUGAAUGUUCUAACUCAAUUUGUAAAAUAUUUCUUUGCCCAAAAACAGAAUUGAACUCCUGUUUCAUCUUUUCCAAAUCAUCUUCAAUAGAUGCAACCUUUUUCUUUAAUGUUUUGUAUCUUGAAAAAAAAUUUUCACAUUCAUCACAGAAGCUGUCAUACUCAUCCUGUAAGUCAUCAAUGGAAAUAUCACAAGGGGAUGAGGAUACCUUGGUUUCAUCCUCUUGUGCCAUCAAACAAAUGUUUGCUCUUUCUUCAGAUUUUUCAUCUUCGACUUUAGAACUUGAUGUGUUACUAUUCGACCAUUCAACAGCCACCAUUGCUUUUUUGGAUUUCUUAUUUUUCUUUGGAGUCUCAUCUUUCAGCAAUGGACACUCAGACUUGAAGUGACCAAGUUUCUUGCAUUCGUAGCAGAUCAGCUAUUUCUUUUUGUUGGAGUCAUUUUUGUUUUUGAUUUUCCAUGAAGCACCUUGAUCUUUUCUAAACCCUCUUCUAGCCAGUCUCUGGUUUCUUCUACCCAUAAGCUUUUUGAAUUUUCGUGCAACCAAAGCUAACUCUUCAUCAUUAUCACAUGACAACUCUUCCAACUCUUCCUCAAGGAUUUUGGCUUUAAGUGUAAUGUUCUUUUUCUUUUCCUUUGCUUCCCUCCUAUCUUCUUCUUCUUCCUCUUUAAGCUCCAGCUUAUGAGUUAGGAGAGAGCCAUAAAUCUCAUAUAAGGUGAUAACAUUUAGAUCUUUUGCCUCUCAAAUUGCAGUCACUUUAAGCUUUCAAUUUUAUGGUAGGCUCCUAAGCAAUCUUUUUACUAAUUCAUGUUCAGGGAUAGGCUUGCCUAGCUGACUUAAUUUAUUUCUAAUGUUUGUAAACCUAUCUAACAUGCUGGUGAUGUCUUCACCUGGCUCCAUUUUGAACAUUUCAUAGUUAUGUGUUAAGAGGGCAAUUUUGGACCCCUUUACUUGAGAAGUCGCUUCAUAGAUUAUUCUAAGUUUCUCCCACACUUGUUUAGCUAUUGUACAGCUUGAGGCUUUGUUAAAUUCAGGGGGGGUUAAGGCACAAUGUAAUGUGUUGAUGGCUUUAAAAUUUAUUUAAACUUUCUUAGUUUCAGCCUCGGUCCGUUCAGACCUUGGCUUGAGCAUCAACUCAUUUGUCACCACAUUCACAGUUGAGGGCAUAAAGGGUCCAUCAAUUUAGAGCUCUAAUAUAGAUUGACAUCUUAGUGCUUCAAUAAGGGUAAUUAGAGCCACCAAACAGAGGUGGUGUGAGACCUCGACCUCUAUAGACUUAUAAAGAGAAGUAGACCCAGUAACACGAACUAGGGUUAUUUUCAUCAUUUCCCUUAAUAUGCUCUCAAAAGUAGCUUUUCUAAUGUUAUUUAAGUCCAAGUGGUCUCUAGGAACAAAUAAAUGACAUAUAAUGAUGAAAAGUACGAAGGAAACAUGAAUGACAGUAAUUUUCGUAGUAAGCGCAAAAUGGUCAUUUUUCAUCUCAAGUCAAAAUUUUUAAGUUUCGUGAACCUGAGCAUUUCUAGACCAUUAUGUGUCAAGCCCGACCUUAUAAAAUACUUGCCAUGUCAUUCAUGUGAUUGACAAUAUGCUUGCAUACUUGGAAAGCACCGAAAAAUCAUCCAAAGACAGUAGUGUAUUGAAUGGUACAACUAAGUUGAAUUAAGCCUCGAACUCGACCAAAUAAAGAUUUUAAGAUGAAAUUUAGAAUUUUAAAUUCUCUGAAUGAUUUAAUAUGGUGAUUCGGAGUUCGAGAAUAGAUUUGGAGUCAAAAUGGAAUUUUCUUGACGUAGGGGUAAAAUGGUCAUUUUACCACCUCAGAGCAAAAUUGUAAUUUUACACCACCCAACACUUGUCAUACUCAUAGAUUUCAUCCCUUAACCUUUUAUAUGGUGAAUAAUUGAAAUAUUUUAUGUGGUGGAGAAAAAAAGCUUAAUUGUUAAGUGUAAAAUGUGGACCAAUGGUAUGGUGACAAGUGGCAAGCUUAUAUUUGUUUAUAAUUUACAUUAAAAAUCAGCACAUAAACCCUCCCAACUCAUUUCUCUUGGUCGGCCAAAGGAAGAAAAAGGAAGAAAAAAAGAAGAACAAAACCCAAGCUAAGAAAUUCAAGAGAAAUUCACAAAAUUUCAAAGAAUCAAGUGACAAAAGGUAAGAUUUUUCAAUUCUAGCUUGAGAUCUAUCUUUCGUAAGCAUUCUUUCUUAUUUUCAUGGUUGAAAUUCAUGAUUAUAUGAUGGAUCUCUUGCUGGCUGAACAUAUAGAGAGAGGUUUUGAUGGUUAAUUUGGUUAGAUUUCAAUAUAUUCUAGUGUUUUUAGUUAGUUGAUGAUGUGUAGCAUGAAAAGCAAACAAGAAAAAUUCAUUUUCUUCCAUCACCCUCCAUUGGCCAAAUCUUCCCUAUGGUGUGUUGAUGGUGGAAUUGAUUUUAUUUCAAGUGAUUUGGUUAGGAAUUAAUGAUUUAUGGUGUAAAAAUCAAGUGGGAAAAACCAUAGUGUUCAUGCACCCACCAUGGCCGAAAUUCCCAAAAAGAAAUGUGAAGAUGAUCUUGCUAAAUUUUAUGUUACUUGACUUGAGUUUGAUGAUUUGGAGUAUUGGGAGGGAAAUGGAGUUAUUUGGAGUUAAAUUGGACAUAUUGGCUAAUUAAUCGGGUGAUAGAUUGAAUUAGGCCAAUACCGUUUUAUUUAGGUACACAAUUGAAUUUAUGUAGAACACCGUGUUUAGAUGAUGAUCCGAACAAUUCGCAUUCCAUUUCAUGCAUUCAUAUAGAGCCUAGAUUAGUUUUAUAAAGGUUUAGCACCAAUGUGGUAAAUUGCUUGAUUAUGCAUUAUGUCUAGGUGGUGAAUCCUCCGGCAAGGGCAAAGAAGUUGUACCCGAAGAUCGGGACUAGGAGUACUUCGACUCCCGAUAUUGUGAGUAACCUUAUUAUCGUCUUAAUUAUCUAAAGUAUGUUUUUAUCCAAUUUUGUAAUUUUAUGGAAAAUGUGUUUAUAUGAAAUGAUUUUAUAAAUUGUUUUGAAAUUUAAUGAUGACUUGGAAAUGGAGUAAUUGGAGACUACUUGCUGUAUUGUAAAUUAUGUUUUGAAUUGAAUGGCUUAUGAUAAUGUGGGCAUGAAUGGCUAGAUGGGUAUUUGUGUUGAAAAUGUAUAAACUGUUGUUUGCCUUGAUAGGCUGGAUAAUGAUAAAAUUGCCAUGUCAUGCUAUUGAAUUUUUAUUGAAUUGGUGGGUUAUAGAUUGGUCACUGCAGUGGUGGGUUCUGUGGGCCAACCUAUUAGAGGGGCACGUAAUCCAGUUAUAUUCUUACCUCGGUCAGAGAGACGCGUAGGGUAUCUCCUGAGCUAAAGUUUAGAGUUCACUUCACGUUGAACCACCACGUGAAAGUGAAUUCAGCCAACGCGAAGGAACGAUCGUGCUUGUAAAUGUAAAAAUGUGUUUUGUGCGUAUAUUUUGGAUGAAAUGUAACUAGCUUAGAUGAUUUGAAAUGUGUUUUGAUGUUAUGAACCAUUUUAUGAUGAUCUAUUUUAAUCGACUCCAUUUACUUAGCUUUAGAUAUUUUAGAUGAUAUUUGCUUACUCACUGGGAUUAUAUAAUCUCAUCGCCCUCCUUUCCACCCAUUUCAAGCUCAAGAUAGUUUGUAGAUAGUUGAUAUCGUGGAAGGCUACAGUUAGCUUUACUUCCUAAAAAAUCGUACAUUCACAGCCUUCGUUCACUUUUAUCAUUUGAGGGCCCACGUGUCAUUGUAAAUUAAAUUACACAUUGUAAAUUAAAUUACAUACCUUGACAAUCUGUAUUACAGUAUGUAUGAAUUUAUUUCUCUUUUACGCUAUAAAAAUUCCUUACAGAUAACUCUAUAAAAAUUAUUUUAUAAGAAAAUGGAAUAUUUUAUUGAAUAUUUUUAUUAUAUUAAAAUAGUCAUAAUUUCACUUUAAAUGAAUGUUUUAGACAUCUAAACUUAUUUUUGAUUAUGAAAUAAGUGUUUUGCACUCGCAUACUAUAUUAUUAGAUGGUUUCGAAAUUUUCAAGAAAAAAUGACCAAACUACCCCUGAGAGAUGAAAAUUAUUUUUUUUUAUUGUUUUGGUUUGGAAAUAGCUUAUAAUCUUUUAAAAUAUGAUAUUAGCAACUGUUGCUCGCAAGGGAGGUGAGAAAAUUGAUAUUAAAGCCUUGCGAGGUUUCGGUUGGCAUUUUGAGAAAUGAAUGUCUAUCGGGAGAUCGCGACGAUUGUCACGGGUUUGAGUAGAGUUCCGGGUCGUGAUAUUAUGGACCUUAUCUUGGUGUCGAAAGAGUAAAAUGAUUGCACCAAGGAUUAAAGGAGAAUAAGUUUUAAUCCGUAAUUUGAAUGGAGAUUGGAUAAACUUUAGCUAUAAAUAUCAUUUUUUUCCAAUAGCUUCUUCAUUCUCUAGCAACUUCUUCUUUUACCUUCCAUCUCACGUUGCAUCCACCCUCCAUGAAAGCUUGAUAGGAAAGCUCCAUAACCUUCCUCAAAAUAGCUCCAAUUUUCAAGCUUUUGUGCACUUUUGCAUGGAACCCUUGUACUCAUUCAUUCUCUCAUUUAAAAACCCUUGAAAAAUCUUAUUUCCAUACUUCCUCUCACUAGUUAAGUGUUUUAGAGAAAGAAAGAGGGAGCUUUUAUAAUAGCUUGGUGUCAUGACCCAGAACUCCCAUCUAGCUCGUGACAAAUGCCACGAUGUCUCGAUUGACAUUCAUUACUCGGAAUGCCAAUCGAAACCUCGCAAGGCUUUCGCAUCAGUUUUACUUCUCCCCUGUGAGCAACAGUUAUUAAAUACCAUGUUUUAAAGAAAUAUAGACCAAUUUGAAAUAAAAAACAAUCAAAAAGUAAUUUCUACUACACAAGGGUAUUGGUCAUUUUACCAAAAAUAUUCGAACCCUGGCAAAAAUAUGAUAUACGACUAAUAAGCAUCCAUUUCAUGUCUAAAAAUAAGUUUCGUUGUCUAAUUCAUCAAUAUAAAGUGAAAUUAUAGGUAUUCAAAUUAAAUAAAAUAUUCUAUUUUUUUAUAAAACAAUAUUUAUAGAACUCUACGUAAAUAAUUUUUUUAGCGUAAAAGCAAAAUAAAUUCAUACAUAUAGUGGCACACACAACCAGGUAUACAAAAUAUUCUACAAUGACAUGUGGGCCCCCAAAAUAAACAUAUAUGUACAACAUUAUAGACCUGCGAUUUCUAAGAGUGCAAAACCAAAAGCAAACCCUCGACAUAAUCAGUGGUCUAUAGACUACCCUAAGCCUGAAAUAAGUGAAAAGAAGGGGUAAGUUUUUUAUAAACCCAAUGAGUAAGCAAAUUUCAUCUAAAACAUCUAAAGUCGAGUAAAUUGAGACAAUUUAAAAUAUUUCAUCAUAACAUCAAAUCUCAUUUCAACCCAUGUAAAUCAAUUUCAUUUCAUCAAAAUCAACAAGGCUUAUGAUUCUCUUAAAACUUGGCUCGUGCCAAAAACUUGCACUUAGUGACACCUUGCACCGAGGCAUCCAACCAAGUCCGCUAAGGUUGUUAAAAUAACAUAUGAGUAUAAAACUCAUUUUUCUUUUACAUUUAAAAGCACAACCAUUCCUUGGCGUUGGCUAAGUUUCACCCUCACGUGGUGGUUUGGCCUGAGGUGAACUCUAACUUUACCUUAGGGGAUACCCUCCGCGCCUCUCAUACUAAGGUAAAAUAUAACGAGGUUUACCGUGCCCCUCUAAUAGGCUGGUCCACGGAAUCUCGCCCACUGCAGUAAGCUAAAUACAUAACCCUCCAAAUCAAUAAAAUUUUGGUAGCAUAACAUGGCUAAUAUAGUACUAUCCAACCUGUCAAUGUACGACAAAACAAUUUAUAUAAUUCACAAAACCACAAUUUCAGCCAUUCAUGCUACCACAAUUUCAUAAGCCAUCAAUUCAAAUCAUGUAUAUAACAUAUAUAUAACACAAGUAUACAGUCUCCACUUACUCAAUUUCCAAAACUAGUAUUCAAUUUCAAAAUAGUUAUAAAUCUGAUUUUGUUUAACCAACGCUUUAAUUUUAACACAUAAUAAUUUACAAAUUAAACUCAUUUUUCUUUAAAAUCAUAAAAACGAGUAUAAACUACUUUAGAUAGUUAAGAUGAAAGUCUGAUUACUCACAAUAACAGGAGUUUGGAGUACUCCUAUUCUUGGUCCUCGGGCACAAUAUUUGUACCCUUAUCAAAGGGCUCACCACCUAUACAUAAUACACGACACGUAAUUCAAUAUAUUUGUGCCAAACUAUUAUAAAACUAUUUCAGGCUCUAUAUGAAUGCAUGACAAUGAAUGAGAAUUGUCCGAACAAUCACUUAAAGACGGUGUUCUACGUGGGUUCAAUUGUGAUCGGAAUGAAUUUGUAUUCGACCUAAUUUGAACUUGCCAAGCCUAGCUCGACAAUAUAUUUAUUAUGCCAUUCUUACAUAAGAAUGCAUGUUUGUUUACUUGUGUAUCUUGAAAAUUGUUAAAGGACGGUAUUGUACCAAAUGGUACAAUUAAAUUGAAUUAAGCCUCAAACUAGUCUAAAUCUAGAUUUUAAGAUGAAAUUGAGAAUUUUAAAACCCCAGAAUGACUUAAAAUGGUGAUUCGGAGUUCGAAGACCGAUUUGGAGUCAAAUUGGAAUUUUCAUGACCCGGGGGUAAAAUGGUCAUUUUGCCACCCAAGGUUAAGAUGUGAGUGUUGGAUGAAAUUUUUGACUAAGAUUGAUCAUUUGAAGUAUAAUUUGAGUAUGAGAAGUGAAGAAUUUUAAUUUUGGCAUUUUUUCUAGUAUAGGGGCAAAAUAGUCAUUUUGCCACCCUAGGGGCAAAAUUGUAAUUUUACACACCCAACACUUGUCCAGCACAUGAAUUUCACCCAUUAUUAUCAUAAAAUAAUUGAAGGAUUUUAUGUGGUGGAGAAAGAAAGCUUAAUAGUUAAGAAUUUAAAAUGGACCAAUGGUAAGGUGACAAGUGUCAAGCUUUUAUUACUUUAUUAUUUUCCUUAUAAAUUAGCACAAAAUCAGCCCAUUUCUCUUCAUUAUGGCCGGCCAAAGCAAGAACAAAGGAAGAAAAGGAAGAACAAAACCCUAGGUGGAAAAAUUCAAGGGAAAAGUGUGAAAAUUCAAGGAAACAAGUGAAAAAAAGGUAAGAUUUUUCAAUUAAGCUUGAGAUCUCUAUUUCUUAAGCAUUUUUUCUUAUUUUCCAUGGUUGAAUCACAUGAUUUCAUGAUGGGUCUCUUGCUGGCCGAACACUUAGAGAGAGAUUUUGAUGCUUGAUUUGGUUAGAUUUCAAUGUAUUUUAGUGUUUUUAGCUAGUUAGUGAUGUGUAGCAUGAAAAGUCAACAAGAAAAAUUCACUUCCUCCCAUCACCCAGCAUUGGUUGAAUCUUCCUUGUAGAGUGUUGAUGGUGGAUUUGAUUUUAUUUCAAGUGAAUUGGUUAGGAAAUGAUGAAUUAUGGUGAGAAAAUCAAGUAGGAAAAAUCAUAGUGUUCAUGCACUCACCAUGGCCGAAAUUCUCAAGAAGAAAUGUGAGGAUGGUUUUGCUAAAUUUUAUGUAAUUUGACUUGUGUUUGGUGAUUUGAAGUAUUGGGAGAGAAAUGGAAUUAUUUGGAGUUGAAUUGGACGUAUUGGUCGAUUAAUCGGGUGAUAGAUCGAGUUAGGCCAACACCGCAUGUAGACGAUAAUCCAAACAAUUCGCGUUCCAUAUCAUGGAUUCAUAUAGAGUUUAGAUUAGUUUUAUAACAAUUUAGCACAAAUGUAGUAAAUGGCUUAUUGUGCAUUAUGUCUAGGUGGUGAGCUUUCUGGCAAAAGUAAAGAGAUAGUACCCGAGGAUCAAGAAUCGGAGUACUCGAAAUUCGACUACCAAAAUAGUGAGUAACCUUAUUAUCGUCUUAAUUAUCUAAAGUAGGUUUUAUUGGCUUUUUUGUGAUUUUAAGAAAAAUGAGUUUAAAUGGUAAAUCUUUAUGUUUUAAAAGAAAAAUGUGAUUAAAUGAAAUGAUUUUAUAAAAUUUUCUUGAAAUUGAAUGAUGGUUUUGGAAAAUGGAGUAAUUUGAGACUAAUUGUUGUGUUGUAAAUUAUGGUUUGAAUUGAAUGGCUUAUGAUAAUGUGGACAUGAGUGGCUAGAUUUGGUAAAUGUGCUGAAAAAGUAUGAACUGUUGAUUUGCCUUGAGAGGCUGUAAAAUAAAAUAAUUGCCAUGUCAUGCUAUUGAAUUUUAUUGAAUUGGUGGGGUUAUAAAUUAGUCGCUACAGUGGACGGGUUCCGUGGACCAGCCUAUUAGAGGGGCACGGUAACCCUAUUAUAUUCUUACCUUAGUAUGAGAGGAGCGAUGGAUAACUGCUGAGGUUAACACUUUAGAGUUCACUUCAUGCCAAACCACCACGUGAGGGUAAACUUAGCCAACGCCAAGAAACGACUAUGUUUUCAAAAUAAAAACAUGAUUUAUGCGUACAUGACUUUUUAACAGCCUUGGCGGACUCGGUUAGGAUAGCCCUCGGCCAAGGUAUCCCUGAUAACUGAGUAUGAGAAUGAUUUUGGCACAAGUCAAAGUUUUAAGAAAUUCGUAAGCCAUGUUGAUUACUCGAUUUAUAUGAAUUGAUUUUAUUUGGUUAAAAUGAGUUGAAAGGUGAUGAAUUACAGUAUGCUAAACUAUUUUAUCUGUCUCCAUUUGCUCAACUUUAGAUAUUUUAGAUGGUAUUUAUUUACUCACUAGGAUUAUAUAAUCUCACCACCCAUUUCAGGCUUAGGAUAGUCGGUAGAUAGCUCACUUUGUUGAGGGCUAUAGUUGGACUUGCAUCUUCAAAAACUAUAGGUUUACCACUUUUGAUACUUUUGGUCAUUCAUGGGCCCAUGUGUCAUUGUAAAUUAAAUUUUAUACUUUGGUUAUCUGUAUUACAGUAUUUAUGAAUUUAUUUAGCUUUUACGCUACAAAAAUUAUUUACAGAUAACUCUAUAAAUAUUGUUUUAUAAAAAAAUAGAAUAUUUUAUUAAAUAUUUUUAUUAUAUUCAAAUAGUCAUAAUUUCAUUUUAAAUGAAGGUUUUAAACAUUUAAACUUAUUUUUGAUUAUGAAUUAUGUGUUUUAUACUCGCAUACUACAUUUUUAGCUGGUUUCAAAAUUUUCGAGGAAAAAAUGACCAAAAUGCCCCUGUGAGACAGAAAUAAUUUUUUUAUUGAUUUAAGUUGGAAAUAGCUUAAAAUCUUUUAGAACAUGAUAUUUGGCAACGAUUACUCAUAGGGGAAAUGAGAAAUUGAUACUAAAGCCUUGCGAGGUUCCGGUUGACAUUUUGAGUAAUAAGUGUCGAUCGGGAUACCGCGGCUGUUGUCACGGGCUCUACGGGAGUACCUGGUUGUGAUAGAAUUAUACACCAUUGAUUUAACCAAAACAUCCGAUUCAACUCCAAAUAUAUUCAUUACAUUCCCAAUAAUCUAAUACACCAAAGCAUUACAAUGAACUUGAUUCUUGACUAACUUCACCAUUUUCCUAAAUUCAUUCCGAUUCCGAACUAACAUACUAAUCAAUGUCUACACAGUCUCGUAAAUCCAUAUAUAUAAGUAAGAAUCAAAUCCAAGUCCAUUUACUAUGAUUUUCUCAGUUUCCAUCAAGCCAUUUUUUAAAGGAACUAUACUUUUCAAUAACCGGUUUCGAUAUCCAACACCAUAAUUCAUCAAUUCUAGCUAAAUAACAUGAAAUACAACCAAAUCCAUCAUCAACAUGCCCUAUAGAAAAUUCGGCCAAAUGAGGGUGGUCGAAGAACAUGUGAUUUUCUUGCUUGUUUUUCCUUCCAAACAUCACAAAAUAACUAAAAACACUAGGAUAUUAUGAAAUCUAGCAAAAUUCAUCACCAAAACUUCUCUCUCUAGAUUUGGCUAGCAAAGGUUCUCUCUUGAAAACUUGAAUUUCAGCCAUGAAGAAUAAAAAAAAUAUAUAUGGGAAAGGUAGAUCACAAGCUAAAAUUAAAAAAUCUUACCUUUACUUGCUUCAUUCCUUGAAAUCCAACAAUUUCUCUUGAAUUUUUCCUUCCUAGGGUUUGUUCUUCUCUUUUUCUCUUUGUUCCCUUGCUGGGCCGGCCAUAAGAGUGAAAUGGGAAAAGGUUAAGUCGGUUUAUAAAGGAAAAUCAUAUAAAUAUUAAAGCUUGACACAUGUCACCACUUGAUUGGUCCAUGAUUAAAAGUUUAACCAUUAAGCAAUUUCUCACCACCACAUGUAAUCCCAUAAUUAUGCAAAGUAUAAAGUCAUUAUAGGUGAAAGUCAUGGGCUUGACAAGUGUCAUGGUGGUGUAAAAUUUCAAUUACGUCCUCAUGGACACGUGAAAUGACCGUUUUGCCCUUAUACUUGGAAAAAUGUCGAAAUUGAAAUUUUUCACUUCUCAAAUUCAAAUAAUGCUCUAAUUAAUCAAAUUUAGUCAAAAUAUCAUCCAACAUUCUAAUUUUGCCCUUGGGUGGCACAAUGACCAUUUUGCCCCUACGUUAUAAAAAUUUCCGAUUGGACUCCAAAUUAAUCCUCGAACUCUGAAUCAUAAUAUUAAGACAUUCUAAGAUUCAAUAACUCUAAAAUACAUCAUAAAAUCUUUAUUUGGCCUAGUUUGAGGCUUUAAUCAACUUAAUUAAACCACUAGGUACAAUACUGAUUUUUAACGAUUUUUCGAUACAUUCACUUAUGCAUACAUUCUAUCAAGCACAUGAAUGACAUGACAAGUAUAUCAUAGAGUGGGGCUUGACACUUGGAGAAUUGUUGGAAGGAAUUUCAAAGUUACAAAGCUAUUAAGGUGAGUAGUAAAUUAGAGUUGAAUUUUUAGUGUUGAGAAUGGCUAAAGAUUUAACUUGUGAAUAUUUUGUAGUUGAGGUUGUUCAUUCAUUUUAGAAUGAUUAGGAUAGUGAAAAUAGAUAGUCAUUUAAAUGGUAAUUGGAAGCUAGCUAAGAGAAAGCUUUUAGAAUUUAUAAGCAUGUGAAUUGACCUAAUGAUGAUGCUAAUGUGAUGAUAGGUUCCAACGAAGCCCCAUCGCCCCAUUUGGACCAUUAGAGAAGUUAGAGUUAACUAAAGGUUCAACGAAAUACCGGUGAGUGAACUUGCAUUUCAAAAUUGUUUUGGGAAUGUGAAUAUAUUUGCACAAAAUAUUUGAAUGAUUUUAACCAACUUUUCUUUAAAAAUGUGUGCCGGGGAACAAGCCCUUGAUAAAAUGUCUUGAUAUUGAUAAAUGUGAAAUGUGUAAAAAGACAGACCUAUGUGCUCCUAUACUGCAUUAAUAUAUAUAUAUAUUUAUAUACGAAUAAUGUUAUGUAAUGAUAUUGACCCAGCUAUGUGUGAGUAGGAGUGUGCAUAAGUUGAUGCUGACCCGACUAUGUGCGAGUGGGUGUGCGCAUAAGCCGAUGCUGACCCAGCCAUGUGUUAAUGGGAGUGCACAUGAGCUGAUGAUGAUGGGAGGGUGUGCAUGAUGAUUGAUAUAUAUAUAUAUAUAUAUAUAUAUAUAUAUAAUAACAUAUAUGGNNNNNNNNNNNNNNNNNNNNNNNNNNNNNNNNNNNNNNNNNNNNNNNNNNNNNNNNNNNNNNNNNNNNNNNNNNNNNNNNNNNNNNNNNNNNNNNNNNNNNNNNNNNNNNNNNNNNNNNNNNNNNNNNNNNNNNNNNNNNNNNNNNNNNNNNNNNNNNNNNNNNNNNNNNNNNNNNNNNNNNNNNNNNNNNNNNNNNNNNNNNNNNNNNNNNNNNNNNNNNNNNNNNNNNNNNNNNNNNNNNNNNNNNNNNNNNNNNNNNNNNNNNNNNNNNNNNNNNNNNNNNNNNNNNNNNNNNNNNNNNNNNNNNNNNNNNNNNNNNNNNNNNNNNNNNNNNNNNNNNNNNNNNNNNNNNNNNNNNNNNNNNNNNNNNNNNNNNNNNNNNNNNNNNNNNNNNNNNNNNNNNNNNNNNNNNNNNNNNNNNNNNNNNNNNNNNNNNNNNNNNNNNNNNNNNNNNNNNNNNNNNNNNNNNNNNNNNNNNNNNNNNNNNNNNNNNNNNNNNNNNNNNNNNNNNNNNNNNNNNNNNNNNNNNNNNNNNNNNNNNNNNNNNNNNNNNNNNNNNNNNNNNNNNNNNNNNNNNNNNNNNNNNNNNNNNNNNNNNNNNNNNNNNNNNNNNNNNNNNNNNNNNNNNNNNNNNNNNNNNNNNNNNNNNNNNNNNNNNNNNNNNNNNNNNNNNNNNNNNNNNNNNNNNNNNNNNNNNNNNNNNNNNNNNNNNNNNNNNNNNNNNNNNNNNNNNNNNNNNNNNNNNNNNNNNNNNNNNNNNNNNNNNNNNNNNNNNNNNNNNNNNNNNNNNNNNNNNNNNNNNNNNNNNNNNNNNNNNNNNNNNNNNNNNNNNNNNNNNNNNNNNNNNNNNNNNNNNNNNNNNNNNNNNNNNNNNNNNNNNNNNNNNNNNNNNNNNNNNNNNNNNNNNNNNNNNNNNNNNNNNNNNNNNNNNNNNNNNNNNNNNNNNNNNNNNNNNNNNNNNNNNNNNNNNNNNNNNNNNNNNNNNNNNNNNNNNNNNNNNNNNNNNNNNNNNNNNNNNNNNNNNNNNNNNNNNNNNNNNNNNNNNNNNNNNNNNNNNNNNNNNNNNNNNNNNNNNNNNNNNNNNNNNNNNNNNNNNNNNNNNNNNNNNNNNNNNNNNNNNNNNNNNNNNNNNNNNNNNNNNNNNNNNNNNNNNNNNNNNNNNNNNNNNNNNNNNNNNNNNNNNNNNNNNNNNNNNNNNNNNNNNNNNNNNNNNNNNNNNNNNNNNNNNNNNNNNNNNNNNNNNNNNNNNNNNNNNNNNNNNNNNNNNNNNNNNNNNNNNNNNNNNNNNNNNNNNNNNNNNNNNNNNNNNNNNNNNNNNNNNNNNNNNNNNNNNNNNNNNNNNNNNNNNNNNNNNNNNNNNNNNNNNNNNNNNNNNNNNNNNNNNNNNNNNNNNNNNNNNNNNNNNNNNNNNNNNNNNNNNNNNNNNNNNNNNNNNNNNNNNNNNNNNNNNNNNNNNNNNNNNNNNNNNNNNNNNNNNNNNNNNNNNNNNNNNNNNNNNNNNNNNNNNNNNNNNNNNNNNNNNNNNNNNNNNNNNNNNNNNNNNNNNNNNNNNNNNNNNNNNNNNNNNNNNNNNNNNNNNNNNNNNNNNNNNNNNNNNNNNNNNNNNNNNNNNNNNNNNNNNNNNNNNNNNNNNNNNNNNNNNNNNNNNNNNNNNNNNNNNNNNNNNNNNNNNNNNNNNNNNNNNNNNNNNNNNNNNNNNNAAUUAAUCGAGUGAUAGAUCGAAUUAGGCCAAUACCGUUUAAUUUAGGUACACAAUUGAAUUUGUGUAGAACACCGUGUUUAGACAAUAAUCCGAACAAUUUGCAUCCCAUUUCAUACAUUAGUAUAAAGCCUGAAUUGGUUUUAUAAUAAUUUAGCACAAUGUAGUAAAUGGCUUAUUGUGUAUUAUGUCUAGGUGGUGAGCAUUUUGACAAAAGUAAAGAAAUAGUACCCGACAAUCAAGAAUCGGAGUACUUGGAACUCGACUCCCGAAAUAGUGAGUAACCUUAUUAUCAUCUUAAUUAUCUAAAGUAGUUUUUAUCCGAUUUUGUGAUUUUAUGGAAAAUGAAUUUAAAUGGUAAAUCUUUAUGUUUUGUAAGCAAAAUGCGAUUAAAUGAAAUGAUUUUAUAAAAUUGUCUUGAAAUUGAAAGAUGGUUUUGAAAAUGGAGUAAUUGGAGACUAAUUGUUGUGUUAUAAAUCAUGGUUUAAACUGAAUGGCUUAUGAUAAUAUUGGCAUGAAUGGUUGAAUUGGUAAAUGUGCUGAAAAUGUAUGAACUGUUGAUUUGCCUUGAGAGGCUGUAAACUAAAAUAAUUGCCAUGUCAUGCUAUCGUAAAUUUUAUUGUAUGGUGGGUUUAGCUUGCUAUAGUGGGCGGGUUUUCUGUGGACCAGCCUAUUAGAGGGGCACAGAAUCUCGAUAUAUUUUACCUCGGUUGGAGAGGUGAGUAGGGUAACUCUCGAGGUAUAACUUUAGAGUUCACUUCACGCCAAACCACCACGUGAGGGUGAACUCAGCCAACGUUAAGGAACGGUUGUGUUUUUUAAACUAAAAAUAUGUUUACGUGUAUACGAAAUUUUUAAUAGCCUUGGCGGACUCGGUUGGGAUAGCCCUCGAUCAAGGUAUCCCUGAUAACUAGGUAUGAGAAUGAUUUUGGCAUGAGCCAAAGUUUUAAGAAAUUCAUAAGCCAUGUUGAUUACUCGAUUUAUAUGAAUUGAUAUUAUUUGCUUGAAACAAGUUGAAAGGUGAUGAAUUACAAUAUGUUAAACUAUUUUAUUUAUCUCCAUUUACUUGGCUUUAGAUAUUUUAAAUGGUAUUUGUUUACUCACUAGGAUUAUAUAAUCUCACCACCUUCAUUUCCACCCAUUUCAGGCUCAGAAUAGGCUAUAGAUAGCUGAUUUCAUUGAGGCUACCAUUGGAUUUGCAUCCUCCAAACUGUAGGUUCACAAUCUUCCUUACUUUUAAUUAUUCGGGGGCCUACUGGUUAUUGUAAAUUAAAUUAAAUACUCUGGCUUACUAUAUUACAGUAUGUAUGAAUCUAUUUUGCUUUUUACACUGUUACAAAAAUUAUUUACAUAUAACUCUAAAAAUAUUGUUUUAUAAGAAAAUAGAAUAUUUUAUUGAAAUUUCUUUUAUUUUUUUAUUAUAUCCAAAUAAUCAUAAUUUUAUUUUAAAUGAAGGUUUUAAAUGUUUAAACUUAUUUUUGAUUAUGAAUUAUGUGUUUUGUACUCGCAUACUAUAUUUUUAGCAGAUUUCGAGAUUUUUGAGUAAAAAUGACGAAAAUGCCCUUGUGAGAAAAAAAUUAUUUUUCUAUUGUUUUGAUUUGGAAAUAGUUUAUAAUAUCUCAAAACAUAAUUUUAAUGACUAAUACUUAGAGGGGAAGUGAGAAAAACUGAUGUUAAGCCUUGCGAGGUUUCGAUUGACAUUCCGAGUAAUGAAUAUUACAGAACGAUCUAAAGAGGGUCAUAGCUUUCUAUCGGGACUUCGCGACGGUUGUCACAGGCUCGAUGGGAGUUCCGAGUAAUGACAAUUCUAUUGGUAUAAGAGCUUUUGGUUUAAAGAUUAGAGCUUUUGGGUUUAAAGUUGUUUUAAAAUUUACAGUGUCAGUAUGGCCGAAGUUAAGUUAAGUUAAGUUAAGUUAAGUUAGGUUAGGUUGAAUAUAAUGCAUGUAAUUGCACAUAGAAACCUACCUGCUCUGGUGAUGCGUAAAUGAUUAAGUAAUUACUACUUGGUUGCGUAUAGGUUUUGAGGUGCGCUGGUGACACAUACACCAUGUCUAGAAGAGGCGGUACUCCUGAUACCCCUCAUAAUGCUAGUGAGGGAUCAUUAGAUUCUACUGCUAAGAGCCAAUGGUAACCUGAACCAAGUAGUCCAAAAAAUGCUAAUAGUAACAAGGAAAGCUUUGAGAGUAGCCAGAAUUUUGAAAAUGAGAGCAGCUCCAAUACUCCGAAAACUGUAAAAGAUUUCCUUUUGAAACAACCUGCAGAGUACCAUAGAGAAUGGGCGAGGAAGGCAAUUGCAAGGGAAGGUAUUCAUCCUAGGAAGGGCGUGUCAGUUGUUCGACACUAUCCUUCAGGCUGUGGGAUGAAUGUAAAGGAACAACAGGAAAAGAAUAAGGAGAAAGUAACUGUCGCAAAUUAUCCCCUUAAGAAGGUGAACGUUGUAUGACAUUUUCCUCCCUGUUAUGGAAGAAAUGCUGCACCGAUGAGUUAUGAGGAAUGUAGGAGAAUACAACAAGCUUGGAUUGAGGAACAAAUGAGAAAAUCUCAGGAGGAGGAGAACCGGAAAGAGGAUCUUAAGAAGGACUUGGAGUAGAAUCUUUCGAUAAGAUCAGAUUAAGAUGAUGAUCCUAAUGACAUGUAAUAUUUUCGUAGGAUUUUUUACUACUUUAACUCUAGGUAGAUGUAGAGUAAAGUAGAUAAUAGUUAUUUGUACAAAGAAGUUAAUAGUUUGGCUUUUGAAGUGUGUGAUUAGAAUGUAUUAUAAAGUAGCUGUUUAAGUGACUGGAGGUAUAUUGAAUCUUAACUGUAGUUACAAUUCGAAAGGAUAUGGAAGAAAUCAAUGAGGCUCUAGAUGACAUUUUGAGCGAUUAAUGUGAUAAAGUCAAAGAUUGUAAGCUUGAGGGUGAAGGAAGUAUAAAAUGAUGCCAUAACAUUAUAGGAAGAUAAUCUAAUACAAUAUAAAAUAUGGUCCAUUAGAGAUAAAUAAAGGAACUUGAAAAAGAUAAAUUAUUGAUUAAUAAGGAUUAUGAGUAUAAAUGUAGUGAAAGAUGAACUAUUUUCGUGGUCUUUGUACUGGAAGUUAAUAAACUAUUAGAGUUAUAAGACAAGGAAGAUGAUCAGUAAUGGAUAAUGAAAAUAGAGGGAUACCAUAAAUAAUAAGUAAUUAUGUGUAUAAUGAUGUAUAUAUUGUGAAUUCAUUACACCAUAUGGGAAAGAUGUCCUAAGGUGGGACUUGAAAUAUGUGGAUUUUUUGAUAUGCUCUAGGAGGGAACUUCUACAUCCUAAAUUUUAGAUAUCUUGAUCUUAUAACUACAAGGACAAGAUGUAAUAAUUAAGUGAAUUAUGCACUUUAUAAAUGUAAUAGGUUAAGAGCCCUUUAUGGCUAGAAAGCACGAGUAAACUGUGAGCAGCAUAAAGAUUGGACUCAUGAGUUGGAAAAUGGUCAUUGGUGGUUUUGAUGUUAAGCUUUGUUGUAUGUAGUCUUAAGUGCAUUGGGGAGGUAUUAAGAUAAAGAUGAUGAGUGAAAUUAUAGAAUUUCUUUAUUGCCUUAUAUAUUGGCAUGUAAGAGAAAGAAAAGUUAGAGAGUUUCUGAGAUGGCUACAUAAAAAUAAAUUAACAUGUGGAGUGUUAAGAUGAAUAAUAUGUUGACUAAAGUCAAAUCUUAAGAAAUAAAGUAAACCUUGUAAAAGGUUAAAAUGGAAGUGAGGGAAAGGUUAGAUGAAUGUAUGAGAUACUGAUAAGAGAUGUCAAUACCAAGUGAGGAAAAUGUAAAUAAAGAUUUCAAUAAUGAUAUAGCAAAUGAGUUUAUAUAGAAUAUUGUUAUGAGAAUAUACUGAUCUUGUCUUGACCUUGUUGAAAGGAAAGGAUUAGUAACAACACAAGUAAACUAGGUGACAUGUUAAAAACCCUAGGAGAUAAAUUGAAGCAUGAGUAGUUGGGCAUGCCUUUAUGGAAAUGAUAUACUUGGUGUAUAAAAGAGUAAAUAAGUGAUUAAGUGUUUCAAGAAUGUUUAAACGCCCUUGAGAAAGAAUUAUAAGUUAUACAUGAUGAGCACAAGAUGCGUGACUUUGAAACUUGUUAAGGAGCCAAACGGCUAAGUCUUGGGUUAAGUGAUCACCUAUUGUGAGACAUAAGUUUAAGAUAGAUGUCCCUAAGCAAAUACUCAAGAGAGGUUCUGCCCUGGAUCUCUUGAAAGCAAGCACUAACUUAUGUGGUUAUAAAAAGGAAGCUGUAAGUUGAGAGUGAUAUUAGUAUUGACAUUGAAAAGUACUUGAGGAGAAUCUAGUUUCAAGUCUUGAUAUUUCAAGUACAAUUUGUAAAUUGGUUAAGGGAGAAUGAUGUUAUAUUUGUAUGAAAGAGUGGAACAAAGGAUGAUAGAAGUUGACCUUGAUAAUGAAGUCAGAUAAUAAAACUUUCCUAAUAAUUUAUGGAAAUUGGAAUUCAAAAAUGCUUGAGGCAUACAUGAUUUAAAUGAGUCUGAGUUUUGAGUAACAAAUCAAUAUCGGAAUGCAAUAAAGAUACAAGGUAAUGUAGAGGUAUGAAGUAUAAUCUAGGAAAAAGGAUGACUCUUAGGAAUUGUGGUAUUGUAUAAGAUGAAAUGAUCAAGUUAAGAUAAAUCUUUGAAGUAUCAAUAGGAUUAUAAAGAAUACACGCAUAAUAGAUUAUAAUUCAAUGGAGAUGACAUUGUGAUGCAAUGAUAUAUAGUAUAAGGAAACUUAAGCAUAUAACUGAAAAUGAUAAAAGGAGAGUAUAAGUAUGUAAAUGAUCUGGAACUAUGCACAGGCAUGAUGAGAAUUUGUAUGAAUUAUGAAGAUUAUUCUAUUAAAUCUUAGUUAUGAAUGGGAAUGAACAAAGAGAAAUUAGUCUGAAGGCAUUUGAAAACCAAGACCCAUAUACAUAAUGAGGAAUUUGGACACUUGAAUGUGCAUGUAUACGUAUAUGUGGAGUUAGUGAUGUACCCAACUAAAAUGAAGAAUGGUUUUAGUGGUUUGAGAUUUGAACUCAAUAUACUUGAUGAGCUGUAUAGAUAAUAUAAUGAUCCAGAAUCAUAUCAGAAGUCGAUUUAUGACGACCUAAGGAAUUUUGGGGAAAUAGUUAAGGGAAUGUAAUCUAUAGUAUGGUUAAGCCAUAUGAGAUGGAUUAAUAGGAUUAAAAAGAUUGAAAUUUCCUAAAUGCGAGGUAAAUAUGAAGUAUGUGGAAAUAAUUGAAGCCAUUAAUCUUCCCUAACACUGAGGAUAUGUACAAGAAUGAGUAUGGCAUGUUAAUGAUACUGUAAACUACACAAUAUUGUAUGAAGAUGGAAUGAAUGAAUGAAAGUCAAGAAAUUUGAUACGGAAUGAAGUAAUAAGAUAGUGAUUGGUAUGCCUAAAUAAGUAUAAAAUGCGAUCGAAAUUGUUAUAAUUUAGAUGGAGUUAUGGUUCAAGUAUAAUGAUAGUAAUAGAAGCAUACUUGGUAUUUCGAUAUAAGAGAUCAUAAAUGUAAAGGUUACUAUUGAUAUGAUUUUAAAGAAUAAUAAUAGACAUAAGCGAAGUACUCGAGUUGAAAUGGAGGUAAAUGAGGUGAACAAAUCGAAAUUCUCCAUAAAGGGGAGGACAUAAGAAGUCGAGCACUAGAUGAGAAAACAAUAACCCCACCUUUUCUCUGAGUUUAGUAAAUGAAAUUUUGAGGUCAAAAUUUUAUUUUAAGGGGGGUAGUGCUGUCAAGCCUAGCUCUACAAUAUGUUUAUUAUGCCAUUCUUACAUAAGAAUGCAUGUUUACUUACUUGGGUACCUUGAAAAUCGUUAAAAAACGGUAAUGUACCAAAUGGUACAAUUAAGUUGAAUUAAGCCUCAAACUAGUCCAAAUGAAGAUUUUAAGAUGAAAUUGAGAAUUUUCAAACCCCAUAAUGACUUAAAAUGAUGAUUCGGAGUUCGAGGACCGAUUUGGAGUCAAAUUGAAAUUUUCAUGACCAAGGGGAAAAAUGGUCAUUUUUCCACCCGAGGUUAAAAUUAGAAUGUUGGAAGAAGUUUUUGAUCAAGAUUGACUAUUUAGAACAUAAUUUGAGUUUGAGAAGUGAAAAAUUUUAAUUUCGAUAUUUUUUCGAGCAUAGGGGUAAAAUAGUCAUUUUGCCACCCUAAGGGCAAAAUUGUAAUUUACACCACCCAGCACUUGUCCAGCACAUGCAUUUUUCCCAAUAUUAUCAUGGAUAAUUGAGGAAAUUUAUGUGGUGGAGAGAGAUUGCUUAAUGGCGAAGUAUGACACAUGGACCAAUGGAAUGGUCACAUUGUCAAAAUCUCAUCCAUUUAUUAUUUUCCUUAUAUAUUAGCACAAAAUUAGCCUAUUUCUCUUCAUAUGGCCGGCCGAAGCAAGAACAAAGGAAGAACAAGAACCCUAGGGUGAAAAUUCAAGAGAAAAUUGGUGGAUUUCAAGUAAUCAAGCAAUCAAAGGUAAUAUUUCUUGAUUUUGACUUGUGAUCUAGCUUUCCCAUGCAUUAUUUUGCAUUUUCCAUGGUUGAAUCACAAGUUAUCAUGAAGGAUAGUGUGCUGAUCAAACCUAAGAGAGAGGUUUUGAUGCUUGAUUUGGUUAGAUUUCAAUGUAUUUUAGUGUUUUUAGUUGAUUAGUGAUGUGUAGCAUGAAAAUAAAGCAAGAAAAAUUCAUGUUCCCCCAUCACCCAUCAUUGGCCGAAUUCUCCAUGUAGAAUAUUUGUCACGACCCGGGACUCCCAUCGAGCCCGUGAGAACCGCCGCGAAGCCUCGACAAACAUUCUUCACCCCGAAUGCCAAUCGAAACUUUGCAAGGCUCUCGUAUCAACUUUCGCAUCUCCUCGGUGAGCGACAGUUAUUAAAUCUUGUAUUUCAAGAAAUCAUAAGUUGUUUCCAAAUCAAAACAAUAAAAUAUUAUUUUUUGGCUCAUAGGGGCAUUUUUGUCAUUUUUCUUUAAAAAUAUUGAAACUCGCCAAAAACGUGGUGUAAAAGAUAAAUAUGUUCAUACAUACUUUAAAUCAGAUAACUGAAGUAUAAAAUUACUUUUACAGUGACACAUGGGCCCCCAACUAACCAAGAAGGUGUAGGGCUACGAACCCUUACUUUUUAGGAUGCAACUCUGAGAUUAAUUCUCGUCUUAAUCAACUAUCAACAAACUGUCCUGAGUCUGAAAAAUGGAUAAGAAGAGGGGUGAGAUUAUGAUUACAUAAUCCCAGUGAGUAAACAGACACCAUCUAAACUAUCUAAAGGCGAGUAAAUGGAGAUGAAUUAAAAUAUUCUUUUCCAAUAUAUGUUUCAUAACAUGAAUAUUCAGUUUACUCAAUUCAUCAACAUGGCUUAUAUAUCUCACAAAACUUGACUCCUGCCAAAAUCAUUCUUGUGGGUACCUUCGUCAAGGUAUCCCACUGAGACCGCCAAGGCUGUUAAAUGUCCCAUACCCAUAAACAUGUUUUCGCAUCUGACACACAGCCGUUCCUUGGCGUUGGCUGAGUCUUACUUUCAUGCGAUGGACCAUGUGAAGUGCACUUAAAAAGCCCACCUUAGAAGAUACCCUACGCGCCUUUACGACCGAGGUGAGAAUAUAAAGGAGUUUACCGUGCCCCUCUAAUAGGUUGGUCCACGGAACCCCGCCACUGCAGUAGCUAAUCUUUAUUUGAUCUACGAUCUGAUUUAUAAAAUCUUUAUCUGCAUGACAUGGCAAUUUAUCACAAUCUAGCCUCUGAAGGCUGAAUACAUAGUAUAUAUAAUUUUGAUGCAAAUACCAACUUUGCCAUUCAUGCUCACAUAUUGUUAUAAGCCAUAUAAUUUAAAACACAAUUUAUAACACAAGCAGGUAGUCUCCAAUUACUCUAUUUUCAAAACCAAUAUUCAAUUUUUCAGAAAAUUUAUAAAAUCAUUUUAUAAAAUCACAAUUUCUCCUAAAACCUAGCAAUUUACCAUUUAAACUCAUUUUCUAUAAAAUCACGCAAUUGUAUAAAACUACUCUAGAUAAUUAAGAUGAUAAUAAGUUUACUCACAGUUCUAUGAGUCGAUGUAUUCCUAAUCCUGGUCUCCAAGCACAAUCUCUAUACUUUUACCAGUGUAAUUUACUCACCACCAAUCCACAAUGUACAAUACAUAAUUCACCACAUCAAUGCUUGACCAUUAUGAAAUCACUUCAGGCUCGGUGUAUAUGCAUGAUAUGAUAUGCAAAAUGCACGGGUAGCCAUCUAGACCCGGUAUUGGCCUAAGUCGAUUUAUCAUCUGAUAAAUUGGCCAAUGCGUCCAAUUUCACUCUAACUUGCUCCAUUUCUUUUCCAAUCCCUCAAUUCACCAAGCACAACUAAUUAACACACAAUUAGGCAAAAUUUAUCUUCAUUUUUCUUCUUAGAACUUUCGGCCAACAAUGGUACGCUAACUCCGUGAUUUUUCCUACUUAAUUUUCUCUCCAUAAUUCAUUAAUUCCUACACCAAAAACUAUUAUUUCUUAAUCAAAUCACCUAGAAUAACAUCCCAUUCUUCCUCACUAUUCAUUUAGAGCAUUCGGCUAUUGAUGGGUUCCAAACCUUUGGUGGUUUUCUUCACUUGUUUUCAUGCUACACAUCAUUAAUCACCUAAAAACACUAAGAUACCUAAAAAUCAAACCAAUCCAAGAUCAUUCUCUCUCCAUACCCAUUUUGACCGGCCAUGAAUUCAUCAUGAAAACAUGUAAUUUAACCAUGGAAAUUAAGGGAAAAUGAAUGGGUAAGGUAAAUCACUAGCAAAAUCAAAGAAAUUUUACCUUUGCUUGAUCAAAUCCUUGAGUUCCAACACUUUCUCUUUGAUUUUUCCCACCUAGGGUUUGUUCUUCCUUGGUUUCUCUUCUCUUCUGGUUUGGCUGAUCACUAUGGGAGAAAUAGGCUGAUUUUUUACCUUUUUAUAAAGAAAUAAUAAAAUAAUAAAAACAUGACACAUGGUAUUUUCUUAUUGGUUCAAAUUUUAAAUAUUUAACUUUUAAUUCUUUAAUUCUCCACCACACAUUUCUCAUGUUUAUCCAUUUCCAUGAUGAAUAAAAUCCCUUUGUCUUGACAAGUGUCGGGAGUGAAAAUUUAUCGAUUUGCCCCCGAGGUGGCAAAAUUACCAUUUCGCCCAUAUACUCCAAAUUAUACCGAAAUUAAAAUUUUUCACUUCUAAACUUCAAAUCAUACUCCAAUAAGUCAAAUGGGGCCAAAAAAAUCUUUUUUAAAAAUUUCCAUUUUGUCCUUAAGUGGAAAAUUGGUCUUCGAACUUCGAAUUACCAUUUCAAGUCAUCUCUGAAGUGUGAAACUCUUAAUUUCACCUUAAAAUUCCUAUUUGAACUAGUUUGAGGCUUAAUCGACUUAAUGGUACCAUUAGGGGCAAUAUCGUCUUUUAACAAUUUUUCAAACUUCCUAAAUAUGCAAACAUUCUAUUGAGCAUGUAAAUGACGUCAUAAUUAUUUUAUAGAACAGGGUUUGACAAUAUUGAUGGUGAUUUUGAUUUUUUUUUCAAGUGAUUUGAUUAGAAAUUUGUGAUUUAUGGUGUGAGAAGGAAGUAGGAAAAAUUAUAGUUAAUGCACCCACCAUGGCUGAAUUUUCCAAGAGAAAAUGUGAGGAUGAUUUUGCCAUAUUUCAAGUUAUUUAAUUUGUGUUUGAUGAUUUGGAGUAUCAGGAGAAAAAUUAAAUUAUUUGGAGUUGAAUUGGAUGUAUUGGCCAAUUAUUCGAGUGAUAGAUCGAAUUAGGCCAAUACCGUUUAAUUUAGGUACAUAAUUGAAUUUAUGUAGAACACUGUGUUUAGACAAUAAUUCGAAUAAUUUGCAUCCCAUUUCAUAAAAUAGUAUAAAGCCUGAAUUGGUUUUAUAACAAUUUAGCACAAUGUAGUAAAUGGCUUAUUGUGCAUUAUGUGUAGAUGGUGAGCAUUUUGGCAAAAGUAAAGAGAUAGUACCCGAGGAUCAAGAAUCGGAGUACUUGGAAUUCGACUCCCGAAAUAGUGAGUAACUUUAUUAUCGUCUUAAUUAUCUAAAGUAGUUUUUAUCCGAUUUUGUGAUUUUAUGGAAAAUUAAUUUAAAUGGUAAAUCUUUAUGUUUUAUAAGCAAAAUGUGAUUAAAUGAAAUGAUUUUAUAAAAUUAUCUUGAAAUUAAAAGAUGGUUUUGAAAAUGGAGUAAUUGGAGACUAAUUGCUGUGUUAUAAAUCAUGGUUUGAACUGAAUGGCUUAUGAUAAUAUUGGCAUGAAUGGUUGAAUUGUUAAAUGUGCUGAAAAUGUAUGAACUGUUGAUUUGCCUUGAGAGGCUGUAAAAUAAAAUAAUUGCCAUGUCAUGCUAUCGUAAAUUUUAUUGUAUGGUGGGUUUAGCUUACUACAGUAAGCGGGUUUUCUGUGGACUAGCCUAUUAGAAGGGCACGGAAUCCCGUUAUAUUUGACCUCGGUUGGAGAGGCAAGUAGGGUAACUCCCGAGAUAUAACUUUAGAGUUCACUUCACGCCAAACUACCAUGUGAGGGUGAACUCAGCCAACGCCAAGGAACGGUUGUGUUUUUCAAACUAAAAAUAUGUUUACGUGUAUACGAAAAUUUUAACAGCCUUGGCAGACUCAGUUGGGAUAGCCCUCAAUCAAGGUAUCCCUGGUAAUUAGGUAUGAGAAUGAUUUUGGCAUGAGCCAAAGUUUUAAGAAAUUCAUAAGCCAUGUUGAUUACUCGAUUUAUAUGAAUUCAUUUUAUUUGGUUGAAACAAGUUGAAAGGUGAUGAAUUAUAGUAUGUUAAACUAUUUUAUUUGUCUCCAUUUACUCGGCUUUAGAUAUUUUAGAUAGUAUUUGUUUACUCACUGGGAUUAUAUAAUCUCACCACUCUCUUUUCCACCCAUUUCAAGCUCAAAAUAGGCUAUAGAUAGUUGAUUUCAUCGAGGCUACUAUUGGAUUUGCAUCCUCCAAACUAUAGGUUCACAGUCUUCCUUACUUUUAGUUAUUCGGGGGCCCAUUGGUUAUUGUAAAUUAAAUUAAAUACUCU
rnacentral:lncRNA from 1 species